UUUUUUUUUUUUGAGUUAUUACAACUGGGCUUCAUCUGCCUACGGUGUGGUGGGCCGAAACAGCAACGGUAAUUUCGUGCUCGAUCUCUGGGCGUCCUCCAACUAAAAUCCGGGGGCGAAUUCGAAGCCCCCCCCCGUGCGCCGCGUACGUGCGCAGCAGUUAAGGCAGCUUCUGUCCAUGGCUGCUGGCGAGCUGGAACCUGGAAGGAAGGGAGGGUAUGGAAGGAAAUCCCGAACGCCUUGCCAUAAAUACGGCAAUCCCGAGGCAUUGAUUGCGCGACGGACACGCCCGCCCGUUAAUUCCGUGCCGCCCUUUGCCCUCUUUCAAAUUCCAUCCACCCCCCCCUCUCGUCUUCCUUCCAUCUCCAACAGCAGCGCCGGAGCAGAGUGGGUGCACGGGCCGGCCAAAGGGAAGAAGAGGGAGGCGCGGCGGAGCGGAGGGGCUCGAUGCACGCGUGCUUCCAUGGCGGUGGAGGCACCAGCAGGGUCACCAAGUCCGUCGGCAUCAUCGCCAAGAGCGUACGCCACGCCUCUCGCCCCAUAUCGAUCCCCCCACGUUGCUGUUCUUCCAUCGCGGUGUGUUUGAUGUAGUGCAAUGUCCGUCGCGUGUGCAGAUGAAGGCCUUGUCGUUCAUCAAGGUGAGGGCGGCGGGCGGCGGCGGCGGGGACCAACCGCGGCGACGACGGCCUCGGCAUCCGCACCGUUCCCCGAAGGCCGAGGAGCCGCAGGACAAGGAUGUCGCCGCGGCGGCGUCGGCGUCGUCGUCCGCGUCCUCGUCCGCCAAGAUCGCGCCGGCGCAGCCGCACGAGGCCGAUGGCGAUCGCGAGGAUCCCCUUCACCCGCACGAGGAGCAGGAGCAAGGAGGAGCGAAGCACGAGCACUGCGACAAGUGCUGCUCUCCCUUGGACGACGGCGGCGGCGGCGCUGGGGACGAGGAGGCCGCGGCGGACAGCGACCGAGAGUGGGCGGCGGAGCCGGAGCCCGGGGUGCUGAUGACGCUGGUGUCGCGCGGCGACGGCACCAACCACCUCCGCCGGAUCCGCUUCAGCGAGGACUACUUCGGCGACGCGUGGGCGGCGCAGAGCUGGUGGGCGGACAACUGCGACCGCAUCGUCGAGCUCUACAGCGUCGUCGUCCAGCCCGAGCACCCCUCGCACGGCGAAGACGACGACGACGACGAUCCGGCGGCGCCCGUCACCCCGUGCCAAUCCGAGGACGACGACCACCAACCUCCGGUACGCGAUUCGAUUCGUUCCGAUUUUGAUUCUAUUUCCCGCUGCUCCGGUCGCCUGCACUGUGGAGUUUGGCCACCUACCCUCCACCGUACCGGAGCAGCUAGCCUGCCUCGUACAGCAGCGAGGCAAUAAAAGAUUUGCAAUGCCGCCAUAAACCAUGAUCCCAUUCAGCAUCUCGUUUCAAAUCCAUGUUACGAUCGCUGGUACCAGUACUCCCAAAUCCAGCCAUCUUUUCGGUGAUGGGAGUACAGCUUUCUUUCUUGCUGCUACUAGCUGUACGCCUGAUUGAUAAAUAUGGCGGCAGAGUACUGAUCAUACUUUCCUGUAGCAAAUUAAAUCCCCAGCUCCCUUAUGCACCAACUGCAUACAAUCUUUUCUACCAAGUAUGUAGCCUGAUCUGCUUUCCCCCCACUUCUAGAACAACCAAGUAUGACACUGAUUGACUUUAAUUUCACAUGAUCUUGUGAUGCCGAUUCUGAUUCUGAUUAUUGCAAUUGCACCGUGUUGUGGGGUUCACAGGAUGGGAUUGGGGAGCUGGAGUACUCGGCGUCGUGCUCGGCGUCGGCGUCCGCGUCGGGAGGGUCAACCUCCAACUUCUCCGGGCCGUCCAGCGGCAGUGGCAGUGGGUCGGCCAACAAGGUGGACUCCCCAAUUCUCGGGCUCGUCACCGAGGCCGACAGCUCCACAAGGGCAGCCCAGACGAAGGACACCCACACAACGAAACGAGGACAGUGACACUUACCUAGAAAAUUAUACAUGCUCAUCAGCCUUAAAAAACCAGAGAAGAACUGCUGGCGACCUCUGCUGCAUCCUGACUGAAACCGUUUACAGAACGUCAGAACCGUUUCCAACGGUUGUAACAAUGCCUAACUUAUAGCUGCACACUAGGGGCCUGUUUUGUUGUGUGAUAUUUUUGCUGAAAUGUAUAUGGUGUUUUCUAUUUAGCCCAGAUUCGAAAUGGAUAUAAAACUCAAUCCUAUAAUUAUAAAGAUUAUUCAGAUUAUCAGCAUAUAAUGGGUUACUGUACAUUCUUUUUAAAAGAAGUAUCGGCAUGUGGCCAGACAAUCAGUUGUGCAUCCCAUGAUAGAGCUUCCCAUGAACAUUCUUAAAACAGGUACAGAACAACUUUUGUUUCGUCAGAAACAGAAAAACAUCCGAUUUAUCCAAUUUCUAGGUGCAAGCAUGGGGGAAUACAAAAAACACUUAGAAAAAAAUGUACAAUCUGGCCACCUAUUCGCUUCAGCUUAUAAGCCGGCUGAAAAGCUGAAACGGCUGAUUUGUUGUGAGAGGAAAACACUGUUUGGUGGCUGAUAAGCCGGUUGAAUAAGCUAAAGCGAACAGGCCUCUAGUUUACACUAGUCCCCUCAACCUGAAGAACAUUGAUUGGAGUCAAGAACCCCAACGAUAUGCCACGCCUGAUUGGAAUCAAGAAUGCUGAAGCCUAUGGAACCCCGACUAUAUGUGGCACGACUGAUUGGAGUCAAGAACGCUGGCAUCUCCCGAACAACUUGGAUGUUGAUCCUUCCUGCACUUGUUUCUCGCAGGCUAAAUGCUGAAGAAGGGAAGCCUCGUGAUACAUGAGCAACACAGAAUGCCUCAGCGAUAUGCUGCUGCCGAUCUUGGCCAGAUUGGUUUGCUGGUGGUGGUCCACGAGGAGGCUUCGCUUGACAUAAAGGGCCUAGAAUGGUCCGUGUCCGUGCCUCCAUGGCGCUCUGGUGACGCCAGGCAUGCGUAAAUAGGUCUGGGUGUUUGAUGGAGCUGCCGAGAUCCCUGUGCUUCCUGAAUUCCUGAUCCAGCGUCCUGCACAGGUUCAAUUUAAACUCAGCAAUGCCGCAUGCCCCCAUAAAUAAGCUGCAGUCUCGAAACAGAUACUAGCAGACACCAAAUAAAGUGGCAGUAGCUACUAUGUUGCAGGCGGCCAGGCCCAGGCACUUUAACCAAAAUCUUCACCCGCGUAAUGCAUUCAGUGAAUUCAGUCUGCACUCUGCAGCGAGACAUUUGUUGCAGCAAAUCACCGAAAUAGAGUAUCUUUCUUGAGCAACAAUAAGCCCCUAGUCUAAUCCCACCAAGAACAAUACAGCAAAUGAAAUCACAAGUUAGCAAGUUCAAUGCGGUUUACGCAACACUGACAGACAAUGGCUUUGUGCAACGAAAUCGCUGUAAAUGACAUGACAUUUUUUUUACCACGAUCAUAGCAAACUGCACAAAUUAGCAACUGCCUAGGACUAUCAAAAUCGAACAAUUCCUGCGAGUAUCCCGUCGACCAUGGCAUACCUUAAGGUGAAGGGCACCUCAGACGCGGUUGGGGCGGAUCCAGAAGAACUCCCUUAUGAAGGCGAUGACGAUGACGACGCUGGGCACGGUGGUGAGCACCACGCCCACCACGGACAUGGGCGGCCGCGUCUUCAGCGGGCCCCUCCGCGCCCUCCGCCGGUGCGCGUACGCCGCGAGCUCGGCUUCGCCCCACCGCUCGGGCGCUGGCUCGAUCGCCACCGAGGGCACGAGCGGCGGCGGGAGCUGGAAGGGGCACCGGGACCGCCAGGACGAGGGCGGGAGGCAGAGCCGCGCCGCGCGCGGGAGGAAGACGGAGGCGAGCGCCCAGCGGAGGAGCGAGGCGCCGGGGCACAGGAAGGGCGGAUACGACGCGGCGGAGCCCGGGCACGGGACGCGGGAGGCGAGGAAGAGCUGCGAGUGGAGCGACGGCGAGUGGGACGGGUGGGUCAGGAUGUGGGUUAGGGCCUCGGCCCGCUGCGCCCACGUGGGGGCGGGAGCGGCGAGCCGAGCUUGGGCACGGGGCUUGGCCUCCGCCAUGCGGGAUGCGAGUGGGAGACGGUGGGUGGCGGAGGCAGGACGGCGAGGCGACGGCGCGACGCGAGCACGGGGAGCUGCUAACGAUGAGUCGCUGACAGGAUAAGCUAGGCCAAUCAGAAGCUGAGCGGUAAUGGCUGGAAACGCGUACAGAAGCUAGUGGUUUCGUUUUCUCCAUCACUUGGCGUCCAAACAUGUCACCCGCCUUCUCAGCUGGUUCGCGUAUUUAUAACAGACGGAAAAUUUAAAUGAAUUGCGUUCAAAAAGUAAGUCCUUAUCAACUUAACAUGAGUUUGGAGAGAUCGUGAUGCCGGUGGGAGAUGCGAUCGCUGCCCCAGCUCCCGCAGCCGCCGCUGCGUGAUGGGCGCCGUCGUAGCGCAAACCCCUGAGGAGCAGUUGCGUGCGGUUCAGAGUUUCAGAGUCGAAGCUGCUUCACAUUUCAGAUUAGCAUGUGCUUUGUAGUUUCUUCAUGUUUCGUAGAUGGGUUGGCGUUUUUCAGGACGGCUACAAAGAAAUUUGAGUAUUCCUUUGUCUUGUUUUCGAGAAAGCAAUGUAAUUCUGCUUCAGAGUCCUUCAGGUUGCGUCCAAAUGGCUAGUUGAUUCCCCCUCUCUUUUGUUCUGGGACAUAGUCAUAUGAACAUUAUCGUGAGAGAAAAAAAUCUAAACUGGCAAAGCGAAUACAGUAUGAAUAGCAAUGACCAUAAUCUCCACUUACACACAGCAAUCUCCAAUACUUAUUUCUAAAGCAAAAUUAUUUACAAUCACGCUCUGAUUAAGUGUGAAUGGAAGCAUACAACCGUUUACACAGAAAUGCGACUAUGCAGAGAGAACAGUAAUGUGACUAUAAUUCAGGUGCCAACAGUAUGAAUAGAUGCAGAGAACUUUUCAAACAAAAAUCUAGACAAGUUACAAAAAGAUAAUACGGACUGCCAAAGCUGCAAGUAGUCCUUCAGGUAUUCUGGACACAUAAUCAGCUAAAUGUCAGUAGUUAGUAGUGAUUGCUGCAACAAGUUAUGGUGUUCUACUUUAUAAACCCUAAACAAUGCAUAUAUAUUGGGAUGAUUUCUUUUCCAGGUUGCCAUAUGAUCAUUCCGAACUAUGCAGGUGUAACUCUUGCUUGUUUGAUCAAUAAGCAAGCAGCCCUCCACUGGGCAACCUGUUAUGAACUACUUGUACAAGCCUCUUUGAUCUCCACUUCAUCAAGGAAGUCCAAGGAACCAUAAUCAUUUUCUGCCUCCAACUGUAUACCAGCACAUAGCUCCAUUUUUCCUACAGAUUCAAGACCUUUGAUCAACGUUGUAUAUGUUAUCCUAUCAGGAUCACUGUCCCACAAUUUCAUCAGACGGAAACAAUCCAUUGCUAAUUGUGUGAACCCAGCAUCUAGGAGUGCCUUCAGAAGCAGAUUGAAACCUUCAGUGUCUGGCUCCAGUUGUUCCCUCUUCAGGUAUGAACAGGCUUUGUCGACCUCAGACUGUAAACCUUUGCUUGCAAGCACUGUAACAAGAUCUACGUACCACAGCAACCUAGGCCUGUACCAAUGCUCCUUCCGAAUCUCGUCAAAGACCUAUCAGAAAUGACAACAUUGUAAGAAAUGAGAAGCAUAUCAGUCUUCAUUUCUUUGUUCAGGAAUCAGGACUAUAAGUUUCUGCUUGUCAGCAGUAGCACCAUCUAGUAAUCCUAAAUGCAUAUAAAAAACUAAGAAGGGUGCAUAUGUCAGCAGUGUCACCAUCUAGUAACCCUAAAUGCAUAUAGUAAAAAAAACUAUAAGAAUUAGAAGUUGAUCCUGGUAUUUCAAUGAGCUGCCACUGAAUUGUAUUCAUUCAUGCCACUAUACUGUAAUUUCCUUAAAAAAAAUAGCAGCCAUAUUGACAAAAAAAACCUUAAGGAUCUUGCAGUAGACUAAUGAGGAAUCAUAUAUGUGCUCCACAUUUAAUGGAUUCAUAACCUUUCUAUGCUUAAGAAAUAGCACCCAAAGCACAUCUACUGCAUCCAGCAGUUAAAAAGAAAUGGCUCAAAUCAAAGUGGACAAAAACUUAGACAGGCAUGAAUCCUGAGGGCCUGAUCAGCACAUCAUGCUGCUUCUGAAAGAAGUUAGGAGCUUUGAACCAACAAUUCAUGACAACAAUGAGUUUUCCUUAGAUGAUUAAUGGUGGAUCAGACUAGAAAUUCUGCAAAUCUAUCUAACGGACAGCCGGACAGGAAGUGUAUAAAAAAAAGUUGGUGAGUGCACAUCGGUCAUCAGAUGCAGUUCACAAAGGCUGACAACUUUUGGAUAAACUAUUGUUCCCAAAUUCGUUAUCUCCUUGGACAUGAAGAUAUGGCUAAGCUUUUACCAAUUUGGACAGUGGGAAUAAUUUAGGCCGAUGAAAUUGUUCAGCAUGGCACGAGCACAACAUCGUGACGGGAAUUUACGAUUUUAUACAUUUGUUGCUAAUCUACACGUUCACAGGUAAUUGACUAAUUGAUCAGCACAAUUUGGCCAAGAAUUUGCCCUACGACGCCCAAAACGCCACCAAGGCAGCUUCUGCCGGUGAAGCAGCAAGCGCGCAUAGCACGGCGCCAGCCACGGCGUACCUGGAGGGCCAGGAGGGCCUCGCCCUGCGCGGCGAGCUCGCGGAACACGGCGACCAUGUCGGCCUUGAGGAGGCGCCGCAGCUUGGGCUCCACCGCGGCGGCAGCGGACGCGGCGGAGCCGCUACGGAGGGCGGCGCGCUUGAGGGACUGGACGGCCUGGAUGGCCUCUGUGCUGAGGUACCGGCCGCGCUGCGUCGGCUUCCGGUUCUUGCUCCGGUCCCGCAUCGUGAUGGUCCCGGCGGCGGCGGCGGCGCUCCUCCGGCGAGCGCUGCCGCCGGUAGAGGGUAGGCGGAGCGGUGAGUAGGCGGUGAGUAGGCGGAGCAUCGCCGCUCAGCUCUGCCUCUGCUCGAGUUGGAUAUUGGUGUACUGGUGUGGGAUUGCGGCUGUUUUAGAUGGGUUCAGACUUCAGACUUCAGACAGUAGUCCCCCGUCCGCGCCCCUCCCGCAGAAGUCGCGGGCCGCGCCCCUACCACAGGCGUCGCCGAUCAUCAGCUCAGGUCGCCAAGAAGCAGCAGGCGCCCCGCCGUCCAAGAGACCACGAAGGUGUACUCCGCUCUUGAUUCGGGUGCUUGGCUGGCUGGCCUGGCUAGUUUCCUAGUUGGUGCUGAUGCUUGGGGUGGGGACUAGGGUGCGUGCAGGUGCCGGAGGUCGAGAUCAUCCAGAUCGUGGAGAAUGUGUGCAAACUGAAGAAAUAGGAGGCGGAUUGGACGCUCUGGAUCGAUAUCGUUGAGAAAGGCAACAGGCUGGAGGUAAAUUGACACUCUAUGGCCAUGUUUAGUUUCCUCCCAAGUCCCAACUUUGACACUAUGUAAAAAGAAGAUUCUCCAUCACAUCAAACUUGCGGUACAUGCAUGAAGUACUAAAUGUAGACGAAAUUAAAAACUAAUUGCACAGUUUUGUUGUACUUUGCGAGACGAAUCUUUUGAGCCUAAUUAGUCAAUAUUUGGACAAUAAUUCACAAAUACAAACGAAACGCUACAGUUGCGCAUUUAUGGUAAAAUGCCAAUUUUGCCACUCCCAAAUUGGGAACUAAACAAGGCCUAUGUUAGCUUCUGCAACCUCAAAUCGAACGAAUUAUUUAGGCUUUUUCAGAAAUUUUGUGUAGGACUUUCGUGUUCUCCCUGUUUCUCUCGUAGCUAUCCUAGUUAAAUGCCAAAAUGUUUAAUCGAUAAGCACCUAAUCAAACUUGCAUACCGAUGCGACUCCUAUCUGAUUUUGAUCUUUUGGAAGACUGGGUCUGGGAGCAACAUGCGUGUUAGCCACCUGCAAACUCAACAAGCAAUUUGGACUUGAUAUGUUGAGAUAUGUUUUCUUGGCAUGUAACAUGGCUAAUUCUAUCGUAUUCUAGCAUGGCUGCUUCAUCUAGAAAUUUACCUGUCCGCUUCAGCUUAUUCAGCCGGCUUAUCAGUCACCGAACAGUAUUUUUCUCUCACAACAAAUCAGCCGUUUCAGCUUUUCAGCCGGCUUAUAAGUCGAGCCGAACAGGGUAUCCCACUGUGUGUCUCUGUUCGUACUCUCUGAAUCAUUGUUGCCUUAUAAUGAAUUCAGAUAACUCUCUGAAUCAUUUGUGUUCUGGUGGUUAUGUUUUUUUUAUCAGUUUGAAGUUGGUUUUAGUCUGGGCUAAAGGUUGAUUAGCAUGAUCUAUGUUUCUUCCGCUACUGAAUACUGAUACUAGCUGCUACAGGUUUAUGGAACUUUGGCAAUUGCUGAACUUGGGACCGAUCAUGCAGCAUAUCAUAUAGAAGAUCAUUUAGACCUUGCUUCAUGGGCAUAUAUAACAGUUAGCUUCACAAAUCAAGUUGUCACCAACUAGAUCAGAAGUUUCUCCAGGUUACACGUGUCUCCUGCUCCUGUUGAUUAUAUGUUAACCUGAAAAAAAUUGAACUUCAUCAGCUGCUUGUUGCCUUUGAUCAUGCUGUAGGAGUAAGACCAAUUGAACUAUGUAUCUAUUUUUAUCUGCUUGAAAAUUGAAUUCACAUGGGAUAAAGCUCAGUUAACAAUGGAUAAGUUCAUUUUUAUCUGCUAAAUAGCUUGAGUGUGCAUGUAUGCUAUGAGAUAGGCGAGUACAAUGAUUUGGGGUAUACAAUAUACCAUAUACUAUUAUUAGCCAUAGUUGAUGUGUGCCAGAUUUUGCUGUUACAGGUUUACAGAACUUUGACGAUUGUGAGCAUGAAAGAGAUAAUACAGAAAAUCAUUGAGGAGAUCAUCUUGUCUUUCUUUCAGAUCAGAUUAAUAUGCUUCAGUGCAGUUAUUCCAUACUUGUACCCCUUUACAUUCUUCUUUCAGAUUAGAUGAAUAUGCUUCAGGGCAUUGUUAUUGGGGUGUACUCCUCACAGCCGUUAUAUAAAAUUGUUAACUUUCAAGGGGUAAAACAGAUCUACACCACAGCAGUGCGGAAGCUGUUCAUCCCCCAAGAGUUCAUGCCUUGUUAUGGUUAUUGUCCAGAAACAACAAACAAGUUGCUGACCCAGGAUAACUUAAGAGAAGAGAUGUUGCGAACCAGAGUUGCUUGUUCUGCAGCCAAAAUGGAAGUGUUCACCACUUGUUCUUUGAGUUUGUGGUCGCCACUCUUUCGAAAAAAGUUUGUGGUGGCCAAAAAAUCCUGUACCUCACUAGCUGAUGGUUUUGGUAGCCCAGUAGUGAUUAGCUUUGAAUCAGUUGCUAAGUUUUGGCUGUUUCAUAAAAAAAACAUGCUAUCUUUAGCAUGGCUAGCUCAGCAGUGAUGUGAGAUCUCUAAGAAAUUAUUCUUGUUUUCAGAAUACAGCCUGGAGGAAUAUGUCACUGCUCUGGCGUCCGGUGGUACAGAUGCUCAAGAACCGGGAAUUACUCUGCCCGGUCAAGCUUCUGGAGCAGCACAACACAAGACACUGGUGCCUUCCUUGAAAGGAUUAGCAGCAGGAGUACUUAUAGCUGGUGUCUGAUCGUAGACCUGUCCAUACAUGAUGAAAGCCAACAGAAGUUGCAGCUGGGGAAGGAAGCACCGGAGAGUGGGAGCCGCAAACAGCUACUGCGACAGCGAGAUGGCGGUGUGCUCUGAGCACUGAGCUGCACAGGAGCUGCAGGCUAUCGCAAACUGAGGGAAACCGUCUGAGGCAGAGGUAGUCAGCUGGGUUACACCAUGCUCUUUUGAUGUGGGAUGUUCAGUGAACUCUGAUGUAUGAGUAGAGAGGGAACAAUGCAUGCUUCUGAUAGACUGUCCUGUUUUAUGCAAUGCAUUAUGGACGGGGGCUGAGGCCCUGGAACUCUAUAUUUGUAUCCCAUUAUGUUGUCUGUGAAGAUCGAAGGCAAAUUUGGUCCACAAAUGAUUUUUUUUCCCUGUAGAAAAAGGUCUCUGCUGAAGCCUGUAUGAACCAUGGAGAUAGCUGUGCUAGUGUGCUUUGUGCGCAUGGCUGAUGGCUCAAGUCCGUGCGAUUUUCAAAUGACACAAGGUUUUAUUGAUGAGACUCGAUAGCAAUUCACAUGGCACCCCAAUAGCCAUCCUUCUCCCCACUGGUCAAUCAAGACAACAGCUCAACGAGACAACCGAUAUGCCUAUAAUUAACGCCUCAACGGCUCCCGAUUUGCAGCCCCACCACCACGUGCGCCACGUCACACCGCCAGCCGCGCGAGCGCCUCGCCGGCGCGCUCGCCGGUGGACAGCCGGAGCCUCCUGUAGUCGUCGUACUUGAACUCCCUGUAGCGGCGCGGGUGGUCGGCGUCCACGAACGCCUCCGGCGCGCUCACCCUGUCGUCCUUGGGCGCGAGCAGGAACAUGGCGAUGGAGAAGCGCGGCACCGGCGCGACGCACUGCACCCGGUGCCUCACGUUGUGCAGCCUCCCGUUGCUCCAGGCCUGGGUAAACGAACGGCAUCGAUCAAAGACAUCAAGAUCGAGCACCUGGAGACGGCACGGAUCUGCCAAGAACGAAGUUCAUCAUACCGUGCCGACGUCGCCGAUGUUGAUGAGGAAGGAACCGGCGACGGGGUCGACGGGCACGAACUCGCCGGUGGCGGGGUCCAGCACCUCGAGGCCGCCGACGCACUCGUCCUCCUGGAGCACGGUGAGGAAGCCCGAGUCCGUGUGGGUCUGCACGCCGGGGGAGCCCACCGUGUCCUCCGUGUAGUUGUACCGGUUGAUGCGGAACUGGCACGGCCACUCCCCGAACGAGUGCUCCUCCAGCCCCAGGCUCGAGGCCAGCUUGCCGGCGACGUCGACGAUCACGCCGUGCAUCCGCUCCGCGUAGCUCUUCACGGUCGCCCUGCGCCAAAGAUUUUUUUUCCAUCAACCGGGACGAGAUUUCUAUCUAAAUCGGGAGAGGGGGAGGGCAGAAAUGGGCCGAGCUAGAAAAAGCACGUGCGAGAGCGUGGCCGACCUGAGGUGCGGCGGCGCGUCGAGGCGCGCGCAGAAGGCGUCGACGUCGGCGGGCGCGGCGGCGUCGAGGAGCCCGAAGGCCUCGUAGAGCGGGUUGGCGGCGCUGGGCGCGACGUAGCCGCUGCCGGGGAUGACGUCGGCGUUGCGGCGCUUGGCGUCGUCGGGGAGGUCGAAGAGCGCGCGCACGGCGGCCUUCAUCUCGGCCAGGAGCUCAAGGGGCACGCCGUGGCCGGUCAGCCGGACGCAGCCCAGCCGCUCACACGCGGCCCGCAGGCGCGCCGACUCCUCCGGCGCCGCGCCGGCGAGGCGCAGGUCGACCACCGGGAUCUCCACCGCCAUCUCGUCCCCGCUGGCAGCUGCCGAAGCCGGCCGGCCUUACUCUCCCGCACGCGCCGCCCGAAUUGACUUCCGUGCGUGCGUGCGUGCGUGCCGCGGGGAUUGGCUUGGCGUCGCUCGGUGGCUGGCCUGGGGGCCGUAUUUAGAGGCGCUCGUGCGCCGCGAGAACGGCGCGGGGGGGGGGGGGGGGGGGGGGCCGCACGGGCGGCGCCGCUCGUCGGGGAGAGACCUGCGGCGCCACGCGACGUCCUCCCUGCUCGCCGCUGUAUCGCCGGUUUGUCGAGACAAGCGACCGACACGCCGCGCGUUCCACGUCGAAGGCUUGCUGAAUUGCUUGUGUUUGUCAUCAGACCGUGGAGCCAGCUGAUCGGGAAACGGUGAAGCCAGCACGGCACGCAAGCCCAACUUGGCGAACGUUUUCCUACGCCUCGGAGCCGAGGACGCACCGUUCUUUGCGACGCUGGAAAAGAGUCGUUGGCGCACACUUUCGGCUGUGGCUGACUGGCAUCACCUCGCUUGUCUCUUUAGAGGACAGGCGGGGCGGCGAUGCCAACCUGGUCGCCGACUUGGGGACAUCAGGAUCGGAUAUGGAUCCAGAGGAAGGGACAAGCGAGGAAGGGCGUCGCGAUCGCUGAGGCGUGGAAUACAAUCCAUCUACUGUCACUAACGUUCAUUGACUCCAAGCGGGUGAUAAUGAUCCGAACCUCUCCUGCGCACAUGCGCUUUCCUCCCCGUGCCCCAAUACAAUCUGUGGCCGGCGUAUCGUAUCAUGCAGGCAGACAAAGGAUCUCGAGAGGUCGAAAAGAUAUCCGUUGCUGUGACAUGGUAAUCCGAAUACUGUUGUCGUGAUAAGUCUGUUGUCGUGACAAGUCUGAACCGGAAAACUCAACAUAGUAUGAAUGGGUAGUACAUAGUAGCAAUUACCAUAGAUUUCCACUCUCACGCAACAGCAACAUCCAAUACUACUACAUUUGCAGUCUACAUUCUGGAAGCAUGUAACCCUUUGCAGAGAAAUGCUACUGACAACAGAAGUAAUGCGAGUACAAUUCAGUGGCAACAAUAUGAUUAGAUACGGAGAACUUUUCAAACAAAGUAUUCAGAGAAGUCACGAAAAGGAGGGGGGGAAAAGGACUCACAAACACGCUUAAGGAUUCUGGAUUACAGCAUGAUAUUAGUAGCCACUAGUCAUUGCAGCAUCAAAUUAGAAAAUCUCGUCCCAAGCUUUAGGAACUACUCGUGCAAGCCUCUUGGAUCUCCACUUCAUCGAGGAAGUCCAACGAACCGUAAUCAUUUUCUGACUCAAUCCUUAUAUCAUCAGCUAGGUCAAUCUUUCCUAGGGAUUCAAGACCUUUGAUUAGUGUUCCGUACGUUAUCCGGUCAGGAUCACGUACUGUCCCAUAAUUUCAUCAGACGGAAAUAGUCCCUUGCCAAUUGUGUAAACCCAGCAUCUAUGAGCGCCUUCAGAAGCAGAUUGAAACCAUCAGUGUCGGGCUCCAAUUGUUCCCUCUUUAAGUAUGAACAGGUUUUGUCGGCCUCGGACCGUAAACCUUUGCUUGCAAGCGCUGUAACAAGAUCUACGUACCACAACGACCUAGGCUUGUACGGAGGGAGUACCAAUGCUCCUUCCGAAUCUCCUCAAAGACCAAGCAGCAAUGACAGUAUUGUAAGAGGCAUCUCGGUCUGCAUUUUCUCGGUUCUGGACAAGAACCUUCUGCCUGUCUGCACCAUCUAUUAAUCCUAAAUGCAAAGAACAGUAGAGGGGAGUGUUUGUUUAUUUAGGAGCUUCUAAAAUUCCUAUCACAUCGAAUGUUUAGAUACUAAUUAGGAGUAUUAAGCAUAGACUAAUUACAAAACCAAUUGCGCAGAUGGAGGCUAAUCUGCGGGACGAAUCUAUUAAACCUAAUUAGUCCAUGAUUUGACAAUAGGGUGCUACAGUAAACACGUGCUCAUGAUGGAUUAAUUAGACUUAAUAGAUUCAUCUCGGGAAUUAGCCUCCAUUUAUGUAAUUAGUUUUAUAAUUAGCUCAUGUUUAGUCCUCCUAGCCUCCGAAUAUUCUAUGUGUCAUGAAUUUUAGUCCAAACUAAAGAUCCAAACACCCCCUAAGAAGAGAGGAUAUUGAUGUAUAAGUUGCAACAAAUUUGUAGCCCCAAUAUAAAUAUAACUAUGCACACAAGGUAGCAGUUAAAGAAAAACAACAGAAAGAACUUGGGAUCCUGUGGUAAUGUGGUUUGCCACUGGAUUGUCUUUACUCGAUCAAAAACAGCAGCCACAUUGACACAAAUUUACUUUAAGAUUAUUGUUGCAGAAUAUUUAUCAAAAGGAAACAAAGUUCCACGGUUCAUGGAUUUAUAUAUAUCUCUUACUAUGUGUAAGAAAUGGCAUACGUAGCAAAUCACCGCAUCUGAACAAUGAGAAAGCAUUGGCUUGGUUGAAAGUGGACAAGGGUUAAUUAAACUCAUAAUCCAUGAGGGCCCGAGCUGGGCAGGAAGGACAUCAUGCUGUUACCAGAGGAAGUUGGGGAAGCAGUCACAAUCACAAGAAUAGCCUAAGUUUUCUGAGACUAGAAAUACAGAAUAUAUAUGCCAUGCCGAGGAAGGAUCAUUAACAGGAAACAGCAAAGCUGAGGAAACGGCGUAUACCUGGAGUGCCAGGACGGCCUCCCCCUGCGUGGCGAGCUCGCGCGGACCGUGUCGGCCUUGAGGAGCCGCAUGGAGGUCUAGAAAAAUCAAAACGACUAAUAAUUUGGAACUCACAAGUGACACUAUUUUAUUGAUCGGGAUAGGUAGCAGUUCACAAUUCGCUUGCAUGGUAUUGCAACUCGCAAGUGACACUAUUUUAUUGAUCGGAAUAGGUAGCAGUUCACAAUUCGCUCGCAUGUCUCGUAUAGUCAUACUCAUCCUUCUUCCCAAUUUGCAAGCUCUGGGACUAUGCUCGUGCAAUUUAGCGCCUCCAGUUCAGUAAAGGGCUUCCGGAUCAGGCGGCCACGUCACGCCUCCAACCGCGCGAGCGCCUCGCCGGCGUGCUCGCCGGUGGACAGCCGGAGCCUCCGCAAGUCGUCGUAGUUGAACUCCUUGUACCGGCGCGGGCGGCCCGCGUCCACGAACGCCUCCGGCGUGCUCACCCUGCCGUCCUUGGGCCCGAGCAGGAACAUGGCGAUGGAGAUGCGCGGCACCGGCGCGACGCACCGCACCCGGUGCCUCACGUUGUGCAGCCUCCCGUUGCUCCACACCUGGAACCGCGCCAGAUCGAUGGAGAUGGGUGGUCAAGAACUUAAGAGCACCGAGACGGCAUGGAUGAUCCGCCAUCAGGUUCAGGGGGAGAGGGGUACCGUGCCGACGUCGCCGAUGUUGACGAGGAAGGAGCCGGCGACGGGGUCCACGGGCACGAACUCGCCGGCGGCGGGGUCCAGCACCUCGAGGCCGCCCACGCACUCGUCCUCCUGGAGCACGGUGAGGAAGCUCGAGUCCGUGUGGAUCUGCACGCCGGAGGAGCCCACCGUGUCCUUCGUGUAGUUGUACCGGUUGAUCCGGAACUGGCACGGCCAGUCCCCGAACGAGUGCUCCUCCAGCCCCAGGCUCGAGGCCAGCUUGCCGGCGACGUCGACGAUCACGUCGUGCAUCCGCUCCGCGUAGCUCUUCACGGUCGCCCUGCGCCAAAGAUUUUUUUUUUCCAUCACCCGGGACGAGAUUUCUAUCUAAAUCGGGAGAGGGGGAGGGCAGAAAUGGAUCGAGUUCCAAGCAAUCAGCACAGCUUAUGACAGACGUUCAGGAGCAGGCAGCCUACUAGUGCUCUGCGGGAGCAAAACACCUUUGUUCUAUAGGUUGGCCGCUACAAGCGGCAAUGCAGCGCACGACCUAGUGUAUUAGUACCUGGGUUUACACGUCUUUUGGUUGUAAAUUUUAACAUGUAAUCACCUAACAUGCCCUAACCGUGUGCGUGCACUCGGGAGGUCCGUAUUGUACGAAACUUUUACUUUCUUCGUAAUCGAAAGAUAUGGAUCGAACUAGAAAAAGCACGCGCGAGAGCAUGGUCGACCUGAGGUGCGGCGGCGCGUCGAGGCACGCGCAGAAGGCGUCGACGUCGGCGGGCGCGGCGGCGUCAAUGAGCCCGAAGGCCUCGUAGAGCGGAUUGGUGGCGCUGGGCGCGACGUAGCCGCUGCCGGGGAUGACGUCGGUGUUGCGGCGCUUGGCGUCGUCGGGGAGGUCGAAGAGCGCGCGCACGGCGGCCUUCAUCUCGGCCAGGAGCCCCCGGGGCACGCCGUGCCCGGUCACCCGAAAGCAGCCCUGCCGCUCGCACGCGGCCCGCAGGCGCGCCGACUCCUCCGACGCCGAGCCGGCGAGGCGCAGGUCGAUCACGGGGACCUCCGCCGCUGCCGCCAUCCCCGCUGCCUCGGCCAUGAUCUCUACUCUCCCGGACACGCCGCCCGGGUGUGCUUGCUGGGCUGCUGCUGUGUGCCUGCAUGUAUAUCGACGGGUUGGUGAGACAAGCGGCCGACACGCCGCGUGUCCCACGUCAAAGGCUGCUUUCGUUGCCAUCGGAUGGUGCAGCCCGUUGAUCGGGAAACUGUGAAGCAAACAUUUUCCUACGCCUAGACCCUAGAGGACAAGGGGUCAGCGAUGUCUGCCGGGUCGCCGGCUUGGAGCACCGGUGGGAACUCUGAAGCCUGAACCUGCUGAUGGUGAGGAUCGUUUUCACUUUUCAGUCGAGGAAGCACACUGAGAAGUGGCACCCGGAAGUCCAAGCAGGCCUUGCGCGAUAGGCCGUGAGAUGCGCGGCCUCGGCGUUUGCGUCGGCCGCGAACGAACGUUCAGAACACACUACACAAAACGAACAAGUUCAGGAGAGAUACGCACAAAGGAAAGGAGAGUUUAGAGUAACAUGCAAAUACGACGAUGAAAACGAGUCCUGUACAUACACAAAAGUGUUCGGACUUCGAAACACACUACACAAAAGGUGUUCGGACUUCCAUACGACAGCUCGAGUAGUAAACGAAGCAGAACACUAGAGAAACCCGUCAACUCAAUGCUUACGUUACGUACACGCCCGCUGUAUAUAACACACACGUACUACCUCGGAUGUCCCCUGCGUCUCCAACUUCUACACUACUAGUUCGUGAUACGUGCCACGACGCCCGAUCGAUGAGCGGCGGCGACGACGACGUCGGCAUGCCCGCCGGCGCUCCCAUCCGGCCGUGGGCCGACCUCGAGCCCGGCCUCGUCUCCACCAUCGCCGACUGCUGCGCGCUCAAGGACUACGCCUCCUGCCGCGUCGUCUGCGCCGCGUGGCGCUCCGCGCUCCCGCCGCCGCUAUCACGCCCGCUCACCGUGCUCCCGGCCGACGACGCCGCGAGCCUCCCUGUCUCGCUUGCCGCCUGCUCCCUCCACGCGCGGCGCUGGUCCAGGCUCCUGCUGCACCGGCCGGGCGGCAGGGUCGGCGCCGCGGCGCGCUGCCGCUGCGUCGGCGCCUCGCGCGACGGGUGGGUGGCACUCGUCGCGGGCGACGCCGCGGCGCCCGCGGGGCCCAUGCUGUUCAACCCCUUCACCGGCGAGGAGAUUCCGCUGGACGAGUCGCUAUACCAGCCCGCGCACGGCCAGCUGGCGCCCAAGAUCAUCUUCUCGCCCAACCCCACGCGCCGCGACUUCAUCGCGGCGAGCCUCAUCCGGCCGAACAUGGUCGCCGUGCAGAGGGCGGCCAACGGCUGCUCGUACAGCGAGGACACGGGCCCGCUCCUCGACGGGGUCGUCCUGGUCGACAUCGCCUACGGCGACGACGGCAAGGUCUACUGCUUGGCGUGGGACGGCGAGGUGCACGUGCUCCACCUCACCCGCCGCCACCGUGUCUGCCGCCAGAUGCCGCCGAUGGAGGUGGGGCCGCUGCCGAAACUGCCCAUCGGCGCCGACGCCUUCCCUCCGCCGUACGACGUCAUCUCGGAGUACACGGACGGCAAGAACCUGGUGCUCUGCGAAGGUGGGCUGUACCAGGUGUGGAGGCGGUCGAGCGGCUCCGGCUCCGUCACCGUUGACGCGCCGCCCGGGGGAGCCGCGCGGCGGAUUCGCAUAUUCGAGGGUGACGUCUUCGUCCUCAGGUACGACCCGGGGAACUGGCCGGGCAGCUGCUGGACGGUGGCCGACGCGAAGGAUCUGAGAGGGAACGCGGUGUUCGUCGGCAUGAACGACGCGGCGGUGGUGCGCGGCGAGGGCGUGAGCGCCAACAGCGUCUACUAUUGGGACGGCCCGCGCGGGGGAGACGGAGACUACGAGGCGGUGGUGUACAACGUGGCAACCGGAGCCUCUGUCCGGUGGCCGGCGGCGUCGACCGGAGGCGUGUCGUGCCCCGUGUGGUACUUCUUGCCGGCGGCCGGCGUCAGCCAGCGCGUGGGAGCAGAAACAACUGGCGUGGAAGCCACGUCUGGGGAGGAAGCGACUUCUCUCGAACAUGGCGAGAAGGAGGACAGUGCGCAUUGUCUCAAGAAAACGAUGAAUUUGCUUGGUAGGUUAGAUUAUCGUGUCGUUUAUGAUAGCGGUCUGUGUGAAGAUGGCGAGCGUUAAACUUGCUUUUUGUUAGCUUUAUUUAUAGUGUGAAAAGAACUGGUUCUAUUGCGUCAUGUUUGUCGAGAUUUAGGCUGGUACAAAACUCAGGCACACGUACACAAUACUACUGAAGUACGAAAAAGAAAAGGUAGAUUAAUGCAAACAAGUCGAACAUUUUUUGUGCAAUCUUCUAUGAGCUAGUUCUGGCAUAAUUGCUCUGCAUCUUCUGCUUCCCACGAUAGAAUGAUCAAAACCUACAAUUUUGAGUGGAGGGAGUAUUUGAUUGGAUGCUAACUCAUUCGAUCCUAAUUAUAGGCAACAAUUAUUUUUCUUUCACCAUGCAAAAAUUGGAGGGCUGCGUCAUCAGUUCUUGAUACAUUCAAUCAAACACGUGGUAAAUUUGAUAAUUUGUGUUGUAAGUAUAUAGAUGUUACUAGGAAUAUUUUGGGUCAUCCGAUAUUACUUUUAAUAUUUCUAUAAUAAAAUAGAUGUUACUAGAGAAAUGGUAAUGUUUUAAAUUAAAUCAGAGGGUAUAUCGUGUCAGUCUUAUUGCUAAUUUUCCUCCUAGUCCGAAUGCUUGAUUUUUUCUUAUUCGAACCACAUCUUGCAUAUGUCUUCGCUUGAGUCCAUGUAAUGUUGAGUUUCCAUUUUGCCUUAUCCUACCUCUACCUUCUACUCGUCGUAUCUAAUAUCGUCACCUUAAUAAUCCUUCUCUGAUAUGAUAAGCUUUUUUUUCUCAACUUCAACAAGAUGCUUUUACGUGCCCUUGCUCUACCUUACUUACCUUUUUCUUGUUGUUCUCUCAUCCACUUUGAUCCAUUGAUAACUUCCAUCACCCGAGAUAACCCCAAUAUACCACGAUGCCAAUCUUAUCUACCUUCUACUUGUCGUGUCUAAUACCACCACCUUGUUAAUCCUUCUCUGUACGAUAAUCUCUCUUUGCCUUAGCUUCGACAAGAUCGCUUUUGCGUGCCCUUGCCCCACCUUACAUACCUUUCUUAUCGUGACAGCUCUCAUCCACUUUGACCUAUAGUCCAUCAUUUCCGAUAACAAAAAAUGCUACAGUCCUCACUCCAUCCAUCAUCACUAUAUGCCCAAUCUAACUUGACGACCUUUCCUCUAAUUUCACUAUGUUUUGAAACCUCACUUUCUAAGAUCAAAAUCUGAACCCUAAUCCUACAACUCUAUCUCGAAUAAACUCUCAAUUGAGUGACAAAAAAUCCAGUGUCGAAGCUGGCGAAAACAUUUGAGCAUUUUCCAUCCGCUGGGUUAAAAAAGAACGGGAUUUCAUCUACCACUGUGCAAAAGGGUCCAGAUCACACACCUGGAAUCUACCUCCCGUUAAACCUCUCUCCCCCUCCUUUCUCCUCCUCUCUAUCCUCCAUUCCUCUCCCCAAUCCCCAUCCCUUCCUCGUCCUUGGGGCUUUGAGCUCGUCGACCUCCGGCCAAAUCUGGAAGCAGCGACGGCACCCGGCGGCCGUCACAUCCCCGCGCGAAUUGUCCCGACCCCCGACUCUUUCCUCCCCCAUCCCGAUCCGGAAGGGAGCGGUUUCCCCCUGUCCAAAUCGAGCCACCUGCGCCCGUCGGGGGAGAAGCAGGCUGCGCAUCCAGUGCGCUCGAGCUCCUGCAGGCAGCUUCCCCGUCGAGCCUCCGCAAGGAUCCAUUUUGCCUCCCAUCGGCGACGCGGAAGAGAACCGCGGAGGGGAUUGCGAAGCUUAAAACCCACGACACCGGUUGCCGAGCCCCACCGCGCACGCUCCUGCAGGAAGGUACCCCCUUUUCUCUUCGUCCUCGCUUAUCUCUGAUUCCUGCACCCGCCGGAGAGGAGAGAGUUCGCCGGAGUAGUACGGCUUGGACAGGAAGGAAUCCGGUGGUAUUUUUGCAAUUGCCAAAAACAAUCAUGGUACCGCGGCUAUGUGCUACGAAGGCAAUUCUCUUGUGGUGCUAGACUGGUUGCCAGGGCUUGGGCCAUCAGCACUGGCAUAAUGGGUGGAUGCUUACUUAUUGUGUAUAUUUUGCGCAGAUAAAGAUGAUGGAUGUGGUGUUUGUAUCUCUUCGCCGUCUGUGAAGACCUGCUGUGUAGGUGACAUCAAGAUAUGGUGAUGCGGAAGAGGUCGGAUUCUGGAUCCCGUGGCCGCCGAACUGCAACCAUGCCACGUGUUCCAAACUCAGCUCGGGUACAUGUUCUUUUGAUCAUGUUUUUGCUUUGACCACAAUUUGCCAAUUGAAUCCUUAUUAACGAUCCACGUUAAUGCAGGGGAAACGCACCACCAGGAAAAAGAAAGAUGAGAUGUGCGCAUUUGAUUUGCUUGCCACCGUUGCAGGAACACUAUUAGCAGAUCAGGACAUUUCCAACAAUGUUCCUAAUACUAGUGGUGCAGCAAAAGCUAAAAACAAGAAAGCAGUUAAAGAAGAACACCGCGAUGAAAUUCUGCCCCUAAAUAACAUGGCUGUGGAGAAAGAUUGCUGCAAUGGAUGUGUAGUGGGUUCUGGUGGUAUCUGUGCCUUUCCUAGGCAAGCUAACAACUGCUCGGCAGAAAACUCGUCGACAAUAAACGAAGCUGGAUCAAUGUUAGAGUCACUAACAGUGAAAUCAAAUAUGUUAGUUAGGGACUCAUUGGUUAGUUGUACAAGACCAUAUGAAACUAGCUGUGGUCUCGGCAUAAUUCCUGAGUUUGGAGCUCGUGGAACACACCAUCCAGGAUCCUCAAGUUCAGCAGAGGCUGAACAAAUGCACCAAGCUGAACCUAAAGUGGUCAGAAGACAAGCAGAUGGGCAUGCUGCGGUUCUUCACAGUUUGUUUGACUCCGUGGAUCUUGAUGUUAGACCUCCUGCUUUGGUUAGUUCUGACAGUAGCUCGUGUGUUCCUCUGUGCAACCAUGACAAGGACCAUCAAACUGCUUCCUUGUGUCGGGAUGAAGUGCAGUAUACUGCAGACAGAGAUGACGAUGAAAAUUCUUCUGGGUGCACGCAUCCAAGCACUGCAGGGGAUAAGGGUAGCAGGCCACAAUAUAUUGGUAGCCACAGGAUAAGGAAAUUGCUUGCCUCGAAGGUAAGGAAGGCAGCACGUAAUAAGAUUUGUGGAGGGAUGCCAUCAAAAAAGGUUUGUGGAGGGAUGUCCAACAAAGGUAUGCCAAUCCCAUGUUCCCAUGGUGUUAGUAUUUGCAUCAUCUACACUCCUAGUUGCUCAAUUAGCUGCCAUAGAGAACCAUGUUUCCUUUUGCUUCUCUCUAUUAUCAUUGCAACCUGCCAACAUAGGAAUUUGACUAAUCAAGGGCCACUGGUUGUUUUACUCAAAUAGGUAGCAAGCUAAAUUUAUGCAGCAAAAAGAUACCUGCCAGACGUCAAAAGGUGCAAAGGACAAUUUUCAAGAAGAAAAAACCAGCGCAUCAUGCAACUUCAUUUGCUAAAGAGAUGCUAACUGGAGGUAUUUUAUACUGUUAAAUACAUCUACAUUGUAAUUUUGAAGUCUUCAGUUCUUUAGGAUUAUGCAGACAUCCAGUUCUUCCACAUGGCAUUGGACCUCAAUCCUUGUUUCAAUGCACUUCCUAAAAGAAAAUGUUGCUUGCCAUUGCAGCCGCCGGGACAUCAUUCUCUACAGAAGGUCGGAAUAAAUCAUCGGGAUCUGACAAUUACCAUGGUAUUCUUGGAUAGUGUGCAGUGUUGUGUUCGUUGCUUUUAUUUCCAUGGCUUAUCAUUCCUUUUACUUUUCAGUUAAGCUAAGAAUAAAGUCAUUCAACAUCCCAGAAGUGUUCAUCAAUGUCCCUGAAAAUGCAACCAUUGGUUCAUUGAAGGUACUAUAUGGGAAGCUACAAGUUACUGAUUAGCAAUCAUGCAUUCUUUUGUGCAGCUGUUGUUAAUCUACUAUUACAGUAUUGUUCAUGAAAUCUGCGAGACUGCAAGAUCCCAUUUAACUUUCUGUUUUGCAGUUGGAAAAAAUAUAGUAAUACAUAAGUUACCUGCUAAAAAAUGCUGGACUGGACAGUCAUGUUAGUUUUCUACAUUUGAAUAACCAAACAAUUUGUCGCAAUGUGAAAUAAUGAGUCUUCACAAUAGCUUUAAUUGUUACACAAUACAGAGCAUUUUCUAGCUGGAAAAUUCAACUUCCAUUGUUUAUGAAUAUUACCUUCUUGUGAGUGUUGCCCAAUAACCAUUUCCAAUUUGUCUAUAGAAAACCGUUAUGGAUGUCGUCAAUAGUAUAAUGCAAGGUGGUCUACGCGUUGGUGUUCUUCUUCAAGGAAAGGAUAUCCAAGACGACAACAAGACACUUCGUCAAGCUGGGAUAUGCCAUGAUAAAAAACUAAAUAACAUAGACUUUACGCUGGAAUGUGAAGGUGGGCAAGAUUCUCCCUCUGGAGUCGUAAAACCUGAACAGAUGGAUUUGCUCAGUGCAGAUGUUGUGGAGCCAUUAGCUAGGUAGGUGAUGAUACAGUUGUCUCUUAGGAGUAAUGAUUGAAAAAUAUCGUCAGGAUGCAGCUUAAAUAUUCCAUGAUUUUUCAGGAUGAAGUGUGAAGAGCAUUUUCCUGAAACUGUCGGCGAUGACAACCAGCAGCGCACACCUCCUUAUCGAAGCCGCUCUCUCUCCGAUCUGUAUUCUGUUGUUCAUCCUGUUGAGAUGGCCUCACAAGAUACAUCAACAAGCUCCCAAGCCAUCGUCCCUGUUGCACCUUCAGACGAUGGUGCCCUAGCCAUUGUGCCUCUUUGUAGUGUCAGGCGGUCUGAAACUGGGCAAAGGCGCACUAGGAUGCCCUUCACUGUUGAUGAGGUUGCGGCACUGGUGGAAGCAGUCGAACUGAUCGGGACUGGAAGGUCUGUGUCCAAUAAAUUUGUUUUCAGUUCAUGCAACCUGUUGCCUCAUGUGUGCCUCUUAAUCUUGUUUUUCAGGUGGAGAGCUGUUAAAAUGCAUGCAUUCGAACAUGUGGAGCACAGGACAUAUGUUGACCUUAAGGUGAUUUUCUUAGACACAAUCUCGCCUUUGUGUACAGUUAAUUUUGUGCUGCCAGCCUGCCAAUCAGAAGAUCCACAAAAUCAGCCAUCAGUACAGUUUCCUUAUGUUGGAUUUCAAUGCCGUGCUGGUGAUCUUAUGUUCCGAACUAGCUACCUCUCAUUUCUCUCUGUUUAGUGGAUCACACGAAAUCUGCAGCUCUCUAACAUACUGUGAAAUACUGAUUGUUGAACCAGGACAAGUGGAAGACCCUGGUUCACACCGCAAGUAUAUCCCCGCAACAACGAAGAGGCGAGCCAGUUCCACAAGAACUCCUGGACCGUGUGCUCGCAGCACAGGCCUACUGGUCCGAGCACCCAAAGAUCCGUGGCAAGGCUCCUCUUCCUGCGAUAUGCUCUGCCUAGAAAGGAGGGGGGGCGAGCUGGUCCUUGUGUAAAUACUGUGCCUAAUAGAAACGAUGUAGAAGUGGUGUCCAAAGAAAUCAGACUAAUUUGUGUGCCAUUGCAAGCUUACAACAUUGGUUUUGUUUCCAUCCUCCGUUCUUUGGUCGCUGUCGAAGCCAGGGGUUAUGUCUCCUCUAUGGUUAAAUAAGGGAGAGAGAGCCUUGUUUGGCACUUGUAAAUGAUGUCACAAACUGCUGCUAUGUUUCAUAAAGAAAACCGUCGACUUGUCGCUGUUGUUCUUCACCCAUGGGCCAUGGCUGAAUUGGUAUGUUCAGACGUUCAGUACUGGACGAGUCCACUCAAAGGUUAAGAAAGAUUUGGCUACCUCCCUGAUACUCCUCAGCUUGCAUAAAAUUGCAGUGCUUGGUGAGGAUGCUGAAUGCUUCGUGCUCAGGUGCUGUCAGUAGUUACCUUCAGUUUGUAAACGCGUGGCCUGAGAUUCGGAUAUUCAGUAAAUUAUUUCGACGUGAGAGCUGUACUUGCUGGUUGAGCUCGCAGAGUAAAUUAUAAACCAUUGCCUGCAGAGUAAAAAUUACCGGAGGCUCCCUCAUACGCUCAUCUCCUCCCAACAUAUGUGGACUGCCGAGUGCCGACGAUCCGACGUUACAUGCCUGUCUGCCAUCAGUCACCUCUCACCUAGGUCGGCAGUAACAUACUCUGAAUGUUAUAGUACCGCCACAAAUCCCAAGAUGGAUGCGUAGACGCUCAAAAAGUAGAUGCGAGGAUAUCAUCGUGCAACUACCGUUAACUACUCCCUCGAUCCUAGAUUACUAUUCAUUUUAGAUUUACCAGGUACGUAAUUUUCUUAUACGUCUAAAUACAUAUUAUAUAUAGUAUAUAUAUGUAGAUACAUAUUAUGUAUAGUAUAUAGAUAUGUAGCAAAAAUUAUAUCCCUAUAAAAAUUUUAUAAUUUGAAACGGAGGGAGUAUUGUUUAUACUAUUUGGGUGCUGCUACCUGCUACUCCGUACACGCAGGGAUGGAUCCAGGGCCCGGGCUACCCUGGCUGCAGCCCGGGGCGAGCCCAUGUAGUCCCUUUAACAUAUGUGGUAUUUAGCCUAAUAAAAGGAGGUUUAUAAGGCAAGAUUCGACUGUUUUGGUGCUGAUUCAGCAACUUAGCCCGGGGUGCAGCUCCGUUUUGGAUCCGCCCCUGCGUACACGUACACAGUAUAUUUGAAGCAUAUUUGUAGGAUGGCCUACUUAUAUUAACCAACAGUAGCUACGUAACACAUGAAUACUUGAUAAUGUUGUUAAUUUGUUAUAGACUUAUAGUCGAUCGAUACUUAGAUACUCCUUCCGUUCUUUUUUUUUAUUUGACGUGGCUUAGCUCAAACUUGAGCUAACAGCGUCAUAUAAAUCAGAACAGAGGGAGUAUACUAUAAGAAAAACCUUCUAGUUUUGUUUUAAAGCGUGGCGAAGGGGAAAAUAAAAUGUUUUGAUGCGUCAAGAGCAGCAAGUGGUGACUCGGAUGUCAAAGAAGCUUACAAGUACUGGAGUAGAAAAAUAGCCCAGCCCACCCUGCUGCCGCGACAAGUCACUGUCACAGGGCCCAAACGACGUGUUUUAGCCCCACCUGCCAUCCAACCAACGCCCCACCUCCAAACCCGCACGAAUCCGUUGACCCCUCCUCCUCCUCAGUCAUAGACCCCGCCCCGCUCACAUACCACUCGCGCAUUCGCGUCCUCCACCCAGCCCCCGAGCCACGGAAACCGCCGCCUCCCCACAACGCGACGCGGCUCUGCUGUGCUCUCUCGAUGGACGACGCGAGCCAGACCUGGCCGCCCCCGGCCCCCUCGCCGCCGCCCUUCUCCUCGCGGCCCCGCGCGUCUCCGUCCCCGCACCGCCGCCGCCGGCGCCGCCACUACUCCAAGAAGCACGCGCCCCCGCCCGCGCCACCGACACCGCCACCGACGCCGGCGCCGCAGGGCGCGGACUUCUCCGCGCUCCCGCCGGAGCUCGUCCACCGGGCGCUCGCGGCCGCGUGCGCCUCCGACGUUGCGGCGGCCAGCCGGGCGUGCCGCGCGUGGCGGGACGCGCUGCGGCCGCUCCGCGAGGCCGCGGCGCUGCACGCGUACGGCCGGCGCGUCAAGCACGGCCCCGUCGCGGGAGCCGCAGCCCGCGGGGGCGGCGGGCUGCACGAGGCGGAGCGGCAGCGCGCGCUGGGGCUGUUCCGGCGGGCGGCGAGGCUGGGCUCCGCGGCGGCGAUGGUGGACGCCGGCCUGAUGUGCUGGGAAGAGGGCCGGCGGCGGGAGGCCGUGGAGUACUACCGGAGCGCGGCGGAGCUGGGGCAUCCCGUCGGGAUGUGCAACCUGGGGGUCUCCUACCUCGAAGGUAUCGUGGAUUUGGCUUCCGGGGCAGUUAGCUAUCCCCUUGGAGUUUUGUUCUAGGUGGUUGUAGAAAGAUUCGGAAUUCAGGACGGAUUAGGCUUGUUUCCAAUUCUCUUAUAUUCCAUGCGCAUUAUUAGUUUUGUUCCCAGCGCAAUUAGAAUCAUUCAAUAUUUUAGGGGAAGCUUUGGCUGUGCUCUGUGCCCUUUGUCUCUUGCCAUUCAUUUAGUAAACUUUAGUGUGUUUAUUUAGGUCCUACUCUAAACUUUGCAAAGUAAUAAAGAAUCAACCAAUACUUGAUCAGAUUACUCAAGCUUGUUAUUCGUUUGGUAGCAACCACUCCUCUUGUUUGUCUCAAGCAUCAGACCUGAUAUCGCUGCCAAUAAUUCUGCAGCUGAUCCACACAAGGCUGAGGAAGCCAUCCGAUGGUUUUAUCCAUCAGCAUCAGCGGGCAAUGCUCGUGCUCAAUACAACCUAGGCCUUUGCUUGCAGAAUGGGAAAGGGAUCAAGCGUAAUCAGAAGGAAGCUGUAAGAUACCUCUGAUAUGUUGCACACCUGCAGUUCGAAUAAUUUUCCUAUAAAAGAAAUAUUCUGGUUCUCUAAUUGUGCUCAAUUCUCGAACCACGUAUGCAAUCCAUUGUUACAGUAUCCUGAUGCACACAUAUCUUACAAACUAGGUUAGGUCUUGACAACCUCUAUUAUUAAACAACUGUUUACAUUGUGUUCUGAUGAUGCUGGGGUUACCAGACUCCGUUGAAGUUCUUUAAUAACUAAACUGAGAGAAAUUAGCUGUUUAUCUUGUUUGGAUUUCACCCUACCAAGGUAAUCAGAAUUAUAUCUGACGGUUAUAGAUACCUGGGUACCCUCAUGGAGGGCGCAGCCGAUCACUAAUGGGCCGGCCCGACUUGAUGAAGAAAGCAGAAGAUAGAGUCCGGCUAGGGCUCGCCACGUAUUGUAAUCCGACUAGAUCCCAUCUAUAGUAACCGACUAGGGGACUUGCCAUGUAACCCUACCCCUCGGAGUAUAUAAGGGGAGGUAGGGGUACCCCUUUGAGGACAUCCAAUCCCACCAUACGAACCCUAAACACCCGAGCGCAGGGCGCAAUACAAUCCUCCAAACAGGACGUAGGGUAUUACGCUACACUGGCGGCCUAAACCUGUAUAAAUCUCUGUGUUUUGUGCUUUGCGUUACCAUCAAGUUCAUGGUCUUGCGAUCCUCUCUGCCUACAAAUCAACCAUCUGGGUACCCCCUAGGUGGACUGCCGGUCACUAAAUCCGACAAUAUCACCAGGAUCAAGCAUGAUAUACUGUAACCACUAACCAGCAGAUACCAGAUUAGCAGCAGGCUCCUCUCAUCUUCUUUGUAGAAUUGUAGUACUCUAGGUGUAUAUACUAUGUACUUGUUUGGCUAUGUUUUGUAAAGCUGAGAUGAGCUUAUUAAUGCAGGCAAAGUGGUACUUGCGAGCUGCAGAGGGAGGGAAUGUACGAGCCAUGUACAACAUUUCCCUGUGUUAUAGUUACGGUGAAGGGCUUGCACAGGAUCCAGUGCGCGCUAAGAGGUGGCUGCAACUAGCUGCUGAUUGUGGUCACAAGAAAGCUCUUUAUGAGUGUGGUAUUAAACUCUGUGCGGUAUGUCAUUGCUUCUCUCUUUCUGAUGGGAAUGCCAAGUAUGGAUUCAUUUGCCUCAAAAAAUAAUUAACAUAAUAGCAUACUUCUGUUUUAGAACUGUUCUUUUCUCUAGAAAUAUUGUGUUCCAUCUUUCCUCCACUAUAUUGCUGCAUCCCAGUCUGUAAAUAUUGCCCACACAAGGUGAGGAUGUAACGCUUGAUCUCUUGGGGUUGGAAACGCUCCUAGGAGCUGCUAUGGAGCACUGCAGUAUGUUGGCAUUGACUUGCUAUGUCUUAAGUUGCAAAAGAAUACUCUACAUAGGUCAAGUGAAAAGCAGCACUGCAGUAUGUUGGCAUUGACUUGCUAUGUCUUAAGUUGCAAAAGAAUACUGUAAAAAGGUCAAGUGAAAAGCAGCACUGCAGCUGUACCUAAUUCCUGUAGAGAAAGUUAGAUUCUGGGUGGAUUCAGGCAAUGUGAAUGGCCUAAACAUAGAUGUUAACUAAUUAGCUAGUAACUACACCCCAUACUGGUGUAAAAAGAUGAUAAUAGGUUUUAUGUUUGCAUUACGUAGGAAGUUAGGAACUCACACCAGUUGCUAUUACUGUUUUUGCAAUUUUGCUUCCUCAAUGUCAAGAGAACAUCCAUGCAUUUACCUGUGACUCAGUGGCAUCCAUUUUUUAUGAUGAUGUCUCUCUUAUAUGCAGGCAGGAGACAAGGUCAAGUCUCUCACGUAUCUGGAGUUGGCAACACGGCGUGGAGAAACCGCGGCUGCUCAUAUGAGAGACGUAAUACUGGAAUCACUCUCUGCUGUGAACUCACAGCGUGCCCUAUCAGAUGCUGAUAAAUGGAAACCUAGGGCACUCCAUCCCAGAAGGUGAGGAAAUGGACCGCACGAAAAUGCCAACAACCAUAUCAUCCAGACGGCCAUUGCCCAUGUCGUUUGUAACCAGAACUGAAGCACGCCACGGAAGGGUGAAGCAAGCAUGUAUGCUUUUGCAGCAUCUUGAGGUGUUACCUCGCUGUAGCCAUUCCUUCUGUACAAAGCCGCCCAUCACAGAUAACAACACGAGAAGUUGCAAAGAAUUUCCCUUGGCAAUAGUUAUGAAAGAGAUGCAGUGUUGCAAUACGAAACUGUACAGCUCAAGUUGCUGGUUUCAUCAGUUUAUAGCUGACGCCUGGAGGCUGGACGUUUGUGUGUUUGUUGUACAGAAAUUUUGUCCAUAAAAAAAAGACGGAAAUCUUUGGACAUAGGCCAAAUGUGUGAAUGCUGUAUCGCUGUUGCAAUUAAAAGAAAUGAUGAACUCUUCUGGUGAUUGAUAUGAUGCCUGAAGAUGAGGGCCCCUAAACCGUAUGUGAUGUAUAGCCACCACAAAGGAGAUGGCAUUAUUAAUCUUUUCUGUCGGAGAAAAGUAUCUUUCAUCUAUUUUCCAUGUAUGUAUAAUGUAUGACUGGAUUUGACUUUAGUUGGUGCCUGAUGCCCUGAUACCUUCCCUUAGAAAAUGAUUUCAUCAGCUGGUCUCUUCUGGGUUUGCAUGUUCAGAGUUCAGUUCUCUGAAUUCCUGUAGCUCAACUGCUGAAACAAAAGCAAAGCCGCAGACAGCAACAGGCCAUUCCCUGUCCCGUCCGGCCGUCCCAGCAAGCGGCCGUGCGCGCAAGGAAGGCGGCUAAUGGGCCUCGCUACCUUGCAGGCAAUCCAGGCCGCACAAGUCCAAACCAACCAACGGACAGGAGAUGCCCGGGGUGGACGGUAUUUCAUUUACCGUCCGCCCCGCGGACGGUAGACGAAACACCGUCCAGUCCGCAUCCCACUCCCGACACCUCUUCCGCGCCGCCCUCCGCCGGGCUACCGUCGGAAUGGGAAAGGGGGAGCGCGGGCUGUAGCCCCCCGACAGCCCGCACCCGGACGCCGCCGCGACGUGCCUCCCCACCGCGCAUUCCCCCGAGGGUUCCUCCCCGGUCUCCAUCGUGCGGACCAGCUUCCCAUCGAGGUCGAGGAGGUGCUGAAGCCUCAAGGACUUCCGGACUUCCUCUUCCUCAGAGCUACGGCAACGCCUCCAACUUCAAGGUGCUCAGACGUUAGCAUCCUGGACGUAUGUAAUGCGCCCCUCUCCUGAUGAUCCAUCCCGUUUGAUCCCACCUCUGUGUUUACUGAUUCCACGUAGUGAAGUUGGAGGACAAUUUGAUUUCGUGUCAAAACAGAUAAAUAAGCUGCAGAGCGCACUAUCUAGGAUUUGGUAGUAAUUCAUGGUCGAUUGCGAUAUGUUUGGCCAAUGUUGGGGAUUAUUUACUGGAUUGCUGGAUGUGGAAGUAGCAGAGAAUUUGCCUGCCUGCUUGCGAUAUGCCGCCCCGAACCCCCCCCCCCCCCCCCCCCCCCCCCCCCCCGUCGUCUCGGGUUCAUCAUUCAAGUGAGCUUUUCUGAACCUGCUAGCUCGGCACUGAGCUUCAACACACAUGUGCAUGUUGUUAUUUAAGAAUGCAAAGUAUUUUCUGAAACCUUGGGUUUUGGUUCUGCUGGCAUUUGUUGACCACAUUUCCUUCACAAUUCAUAGACUGGUCAGAAAACUCUGUGACUUAGUUAUUGAAGAAAUUGGUUUGAAUUCCAUUUUGUUGAUGAUUUGCAUUUACAAGGUCUAGAUAGACAUGAAUCGGCUUGACUACCUGCUGACAUUUGAUACUUGCAACCUUUCUGUAAUUUCAAUUAUGUUGCAGUCACACUUGUAACUGCAGGUGUUAUUCUUAGGGAGUUUGCAGAGGAUGCUUAUUGCAAUGCCCUGAAGGAUAGUGAGAAGCCAGUUGUUUAUGAUAAUCUUGUAAGUUGGUACUUGCCUCCUAUCAACCUGCAGUUUUUUUUUCAUCGUCUAUGCUUAAAAAGACAAUUAAAGAAGUUAUGACUGCAUUUAAAUAAGAGUGGGAGGAAUAUGCAAAACAUACAACAGUACACAGAAAACCCCCCGAGUGGUGAAACACAAAUUCCUUGAUGUGUUAAAUUAAACAUCUGGUCGACAGCCUCCUGGAACGCAUCCUUGGUGAUGAAGUUGUCGUCACCUAUGGCUGCUGGGAAGUGGUGGGUUUAGCGGCGCGCAGGGGAAUUUGGGAAGGUGGAAGAGGCGGCAGCCAAAGCCAAGAAUGUCCCACCUCAUACCAGAGAUGUUAACUCUAUUCGGCUGGCUGCUUUGCAGCUGGCUGCUGCUGCUCGGCAGAGAGCAAGCAGCUGCAGCAGCACGCACCAGCAGGCAGCAGCAGCCGCCGCCAUGCACCAGCCGAACAGCGCCGUUAUGGCUAGAUUACUGAUAAUAGAUAUAGCUCGAGGUAGAUGGAUAUUUCACCCUCACGCUGGAGGCUCUGAGAUUAAUUCCUCUACUUCUUGCUUGAGUGCAGUUAUGCAGCCGGGACUCUUAUAUAAUGAGUCGGCCCUAACAAACCUUCCAACUAAUUUCCAAGUAUAUCUCUAAACUGAAUCUAAACCAAACUACUUUUAACUAAAUGGACUCUUAUUCCUGCGCCUGAACUUCUUGCCAAAGAAGUUGUCCAUAACACAAAUAGAUAAGCUGAUAGAGAAAAUCACAAAGAACUGAGCAGUAGUCUAUGGUGAUAAUUACUCAUAUUUUCUUUUUAACUGGCAAGUGACAAGUGUACCGUGUAGCACUGCUCAUUGCAGAUUUUCAGCCAUCAACAUGUUAGUUUGACCGAUUUUUUUUUAUCAUGCUCUGAUAGCAUGAAGCAAAUAAUUCAAUUGUACAAGGCCGAAGCACUUUGUUUAAUCCCUACAAUUCAUGAAUUUGAUUGCUUAACUCAGCAUCAUGCUACAACCUUGUACACAUGUUGGCAAAAUUUCAUUUCUGGGUUUUUUCCUUCUUUUAGUUCCUACUUCCUGCAUCCAAAUAUGUUUGCCUAAUCUGUUUGCAGGCUUCAGUUUGUGGUCUAAGGAGCACCCGAUUGAUUUGCGACACUUGUAGGGCUAGGCAGUUUGCUUUACCCGGUAUGGCUCUUGAAAUGGAGACGAUGUGGCACUGUCAAUCUUUGUUGUUCUUAUAACGUUGACAAGAUAUUCAGCAUUUGUUAGUGUCGAUCAAGCGUGAGCUACCUUGCAGAUCUGGGGUUCGCGCUCUAUCCAACACCAACUGCGUAAGUAAUAUUGAUAAAAUUACUGUCUACAUGUCCGUCCAUUCGAUACAUGACGACUAAAUGCAUAAUUUGUUUUUCUCAGGUAGCAUAAGCAGUAAAGCAGUAGCAAAUGUUGCUGCACCCACGACAUCCUGACUCCUGAGGCAACUGGAAAUGGCUUCCAAGCCGAUGCAUCUCCACGCUCCCGCCGCCGCGGCCACCUCUGCUGCCACCGUGCUCUCCAUCCUCCGCGGGGCUGACCCUGACCGCCUCCUCCCAGCAGCCGGCAUCGCCGCAACGCCCACCAUACUCCAGCACCUCCGCCCCGCGCUCCCCACCCUCCCCGACCCCGCGAUCCCCGCCCUUGCCCGAUGGGCCGGCGCCGCCACCGCCGUCUCCCUCCUCGCCUCCCGCGGCCUCUUCGCCGCCGCCUGGCGCCUCCUCCUGGUUAAGCCUCCUUCCUCCCCGCCGCCUCCCCUCGCCGCGUUCGCAUCGCUCCUCCGCCGCUACGCGCGCCUCGGGCGCACCGCCGCCGCAGUCCGCGCCUUCCGCUUCCUGCACGGCCACCCCGACCGCUACACCGUCGCUAUCGAUGGCAAUGGCGAUGAUGGCUCCUCGUCUGCCGCAGAGGUCUCCCCGCUGAUCCUGGCCGUCGACGCGCUCUGCAAGGAGGGCCACCCGCGUGCCGCGGCGCAGCUCGUCGAGCAGCUCCGGCGCGAGGACCCUGCGUGGGCGCCCGACGUGCGGACCUACAACGUCCUGCUCAACGGAUGGUCCCGCGCGCGCCGGCUCGACAAGGUGGAGAAGCUCUGGGCGGCGAUGCGCCACGCCGGCGUGCGGCCGACGGUGGUCACGUAUGGGACCCUCAUCGGCGCGCACUGCGUCAUGCGGCAGCCCGACCAGGCGAUGGCGCUCCUUGACCAGAUGCGGGAGGAGGGGAUCGAGGCCGAUCUGCUCACCUGCAACCCCAUCGUGUGUGCCCUCGCACAGGCAGGUCGCUUCGGGGACGCACACAAGGUGCUCGAGAAAUUUCCCCUCUACGGUGUCGCGCCGAACAUCUCGACAUUCAACUCCCUCGUCUUGGGCUACUGCAAGCAUGGCGACCUUGCUGGGGCUAGUAGAGUACUCAAGGCGAUGCUGGGGCGGGGCAUUUCACCAACUGCAAGGACAUACAACUACUUCUUUAUGGUCUUUGCGAGGAAUCACAGUGUUGAGCUGGGGAUGAAUCUCUACAGCAAGAUGGUCAGCAAUGACUAUGCGCCGGACCGUCUCACUUACCACCUUCUCGUCAAGAUGUUCUGCGAAGCGAACCGGCUUGAAUUAACACUGCAAAUGCUCCAGGAGAUGAGAAACAGUGGUUUUGAGGCGGAUCUUGCGACCAGCACCAUGCUGAUACAUUUGCUCUGCCGGCGUCAUCAGUUUGAAGAGGCGUUUGCGGAGUUUGAGCAUAUGUUUGAGAGAGGGAUUGUGCCCCAGUACAUCACUUACCGGAUGCUUAAGAAAGAGCUCAAGCGGCUUGGUUUAGUCAAAUUGGUUCAGAAAUUGACAGAUCUAAUGCGUGCAGUACCACAUUCCACAAAGUUACCUGGCAGUUACAGGGACAAGGAAGGAGAUGAUGCUAUAGAGAAGAAGAAAUCAAUAUUACAGAAAGCACAGGCUGUUUCAGAUGUUUUGAAGGACCGUAAAGAUCUGAAGAAAGGACACAAGAUCCAAAAUCCUGAAGAAACUGAUGUCCAGGUUGCAGAUAGGAUUGUAGCCAACAUUAGGAGAAGAGUAUAUGGAGACGUCUCUAGGAUAGGAGCAUCUCUUUCUUGAACAUUGAUUUGCAUUGUGUACACUCAUAAGUAUUAAUCGCAUGAUGAUGGGUUUAGCAGUCGGCUGCAUUGUUCAUCAUAAAAUAUGAUCAGCUAAGCAGUUCUUACAUGCUUCGGGAUCUCAAUGAAGGUAAUAGUAACGCACAUCAAUUGAUUGAUUAUUGUUUCCCUACGGUGUGGAUGUCCUCCCUCAUCUGAUUGCUGUAGAGAGUCACCGUGACAAGUUUCAGCUAAUGGCAAAUUUCUGACUAUGCUGUUACUCAGGCUUAUUUGGUUUGAGCCCAAACCCAACGAAACUUUUGGCAUGAUCAAGAUUAGGCCAUGGACAAAAUACUGAUAAUAUGAGGAUGUUUGGUUUGCUGCACUAGCAAUAGUAAAAAUGAUUGCCGGAUUUAGGGUCCUGCUUUGUAGAUUAAUGAAUGAAUAUAAUGGUUAAACAAAGUAACACACAAAUCACAUGUACUUUUUAUUUGGCAAAUUCCUCUAGGCUAGAAAGCAAACAUAACCAAGACAUAAAAAAUGAUUCUAUUCAGAACAUAGCUACCGACCAAGAUAGGUUGCUGGUUGCCGGGUAGCAAAGCCGAACAUAAAAGGUGUGAAGUCAAGAACAAGGAGCAAAGCAAGGUAUGUUAAGUGCCCGAUGACAUCUUUUACUGACAGGAGGUGGCACUGAUUUCUGGAUCUAUCACAUAGUUAUGGAACCCACAUGGCCACAUUGAUCUGGGAGUAAUGCAUCAUUUCAUGUCUGUUUUCCUUGCUACCCAGAGUUUCUAUCCACGGAUGGCUCUAAAUACGCAAACAUGCUCCCACACCGCGCUGUUGUACAACAAAAGGAAAGACAUGAUUAUCCUGUUUGGUUACCACCUCCUAAUUAAAAGGUGACUAGUUUGUCAGAGUGAUUAAAAAAGGAUUAAAAACUUUAGGAGGUUCAAAACUCUUUCAUCCUCCCACCCCUCCUAAAAUCUCCUAAAACCAACUUUUGAUGCGCACUGCUCCCGCACCCUCCCCCGACCGCACCCACCCCCGACCGUUCCCACCUCGUCCUCUCCCAACCCGCCGCCACCGCCGCUCGAUCCAUCCACCACGCCGGCGGCGGUGCCCACCAUUGUCGGCCGCGCCCUUCCCCGCCGGAUCCGCCGCCCCCAAGACCUCCCACCCUCGCCGGCAGACCCAUAGGCUCCCUCGCUGGUUCCUACGCUACCCCAACAAUUGUCGCUGCUCGAGCCCUCAUUCACGUCGGCGGCCGCGCCCAACCACCAGCGGCCGCACCCUCCCCCGCCGGAUUCGCCGCCCCCAAGGCCUCCCACCCCCACCGGCAGACCCCGCGCCCUUCCCCGACCGUCCCUGCGCCCUCCUUCGCCGGAUCCGCCGCCCCUUCGCAUCUAAACCCGGCCGGCGCUCCUUGACUCCUCCCUGCUAAAACUGGCCGCCGCUCCAUCACUCCUCCGUGCCCAACCCGCCCGCCGCUCCUUCACGCCCAACCCGACCGCUGCUCCUCUGCCCCCAACCCGCCCGCCUGGAGCGAAGCAGGUGAUUGGCACCACCGGAAAAUAGCGCCAGGAAGAAGAUGGGAGGGGCAUCUGGUGGGAGGGCCACCACCGGAAAAUAGCGCCAGGAAGAAGAUGGGAGGGGCAUCUGGUGGGAGGGCAGCAUGGUCCUUUUUUCACAGUAUUUAUUGUCUUUAGUCAGUUUUAGUCACUAGAACCAAAUAACCUUUAGUCCAUGAACUAAAGUGGGACUAAAACUAAAACUUUAGUCCCAUUGUCCAUGAACCAAACAGGACCUAAGACUGCAAACUCAAAUCUGAAUCGAAUUUGAACAGGAGCAGUGCCUUUUGUUCUCAUUGGUCCUGUUUUGACUAGCAUACAUCACAAAGUAUGGGGACAGAGGAAACCACUGAACUCAAGGACCACGAGCUGGUCAACGUGGGCCAAAAUGUCCUUCGUGUGUGGAUCAACCAAGAUUUGUGGUUUUGGGACCAGGUUCACUGCAGAGUCGGACUUGAGGUGUGAGGAGAAAGAGAACCCAGAUCAGACAAGAUUUGUUAUCCUGCUGUGCUGAAGCACAUGGUAGGUUGCCUUGGGUUGAAGCCAGAGAGGCAGAGACCUGUGUCAGUCUCAAAUUCACACAGUCACUCACAUGCAUGGAGCAUGACCAUCCCAGCAAGCAAGCAGUGUCACCUACUCUACUCAACAAGGCAAUCAAGCUGGCAUAGUGGCAUCUCCUUUUUCUUAUAAACCAGCUCGCUACCCCUCCCUCUGCAGAGUUGGCCUUCGCAAGCAACCAAUCUGAUCGGACUCUCUUCUCGUCUUGUUGGCCUUCGCAAGCUCCCAGCUCCAGCUUGGUGCCUAGCCUGCCGCGGAGCAAGAUGGGCAGAGGAGCUCAGCCGUCUGCGUCGCUCCUGCUCUUCUCUCUGGGUCUUGUGCUCCUCUGCUUCACCGCAGGUUAGCCCAUGUUCAUUUUUACUAGUAGAUGAUCCAGCACCGAUUGUUCUUCUUCAACUAGCUCCUAGUUCUUCUAGCUGAUGGUUUUGUCUGAGAUUUCCCCCCCUCGGUUCUUGGAUCUCUGAAACUGAAACCCACUUUCUGCAAGACCUUUUUCCUCCUCCUUUUCUUACCAGAAAUUAAUAGGAAAAAAGUUUCAUGUCCUAUAACUAUAAUGCUGUGGGCAACUAGUUCAUCUAGAUUUAGACUGAAAAGGGUAUGCCGUUUGAGACUUUCUGUAGCGUGUCGGCGCCAUCCUGGCCGGUGCCUGGCCAGCGAGGAGAGAUGCCGUUGGUUGGUCCUGGUUGAUAGCCAAGAUCUACCUGACCUUGCCUGCUGAUUUUGCUUCGCAGGCGGUAUCGUCGGCGUCGCGGCGGCGCAGAAGACGUGGUGCAUCGCCAAGCCGUCGGCGUCGAACGAGAUCCUGGCGCAGAACCUCGACUACGCGUGCUCCCAGGUGAGCUGCGCCGUGAUCCAGAAGGGCGGGCCGUGCUACUACCCGGACAGCCUCGUCUCCCGCGCCGCCGUCGCCAUGAACCUCUACUACGCCUACAGCGGCCGACACCCCUGGAACUGCUACUUCAACAGCUCCGCGCUCGUCGUCCAGUCCGACCCCAGUAAGUCACUGAUGAACUGAUCCGGUUCCUUUGGGGCUCCGCGAGCUCUGAGAUGGUGAUAAUCUUAAUCCGUGUGUUAUCUGAUACCUGAAUGUCACGUUUUCUUUGCAGGUUAUGGAUCUUGCACGUACUACUGAGACAGAGAUCGCCGCCGGGGUUGCGGAGGCCGUGCAAGCUGAACCACCAUUGAUGCGGCUGAGAGCUCCAGCGUGCCCUCUUUGCUGAUACCACCGUUGUGCCAUUGUUUGUUGUUGAGGAACUGAUGAGGAACGGGAGCAGAUGCAGAUUGCUGUGUUGUGUCGUGUCUAGUAAACUGUGAUGCAGUUGACCUUUCGAGAUCUUCGAACAACUCAUUGAUACAUUUUUAAUUUUAAUUAACUCGAAGUUGUCACUUCAAAUUUCAAACAUCUGAGUCGAUCGGUUCGCGCAUGAUUUGUUGACUCCAGCGGCCGUCCAGGCAAGCAAACAAACAAACGGUUCAUUCCAAUCUGGCAAUUUCCAAUCCAAUCUCCACUCGCGUGACCUACCCGACCGCUGGCGGCAAAGGACCGACCCAGACCCACGGCGCGGCGGCGCCCCGCCUCCAGUCCCCGGCGACGGCACGAUGCGGCGGCGGCCCUUCUCCCGGCACGACGGCUUCUUCGCCUCCCUCCAGCGGGUGGGUAACCCAAACGGACCCCCAAGCCGUUCUCACCUUCUCUUCUCUUCUUCAAUCGCACACGAGCUGUCCUCCCUCCUCUCUGACGCCGAGAGCUCUCGUCCCCUGCUCCUCAGGUGGAAGACCGGCUGGCCGCGGAGCAGCAUCAGGAGCAGAGGCAGGACCCGCCGCCGCCGCCGCCGGCGGCUCCGGCGACGGCAACGGCACGCCAACCCGACGCGUCGCCGUUCUCGGACACCAUGACGACCGCGUCCCCGCUCCUCCUCCUCGACCCGGCACCGCCCAGCGCGCCCGCGAGCCGCGACAGCAGCGGCCCGGCGCUGGACUUCCUCACCGCCCACACCGAACAGGACCAACGCAUCCAACAGGACGACGGCGGCGGCGGCGGCGGUGUCGUCGAGGAGGACAUCGCUUGGCUCAUGGCGCUGCUGGGCCUGUCGCCGCCGCCACCGCCGGACGGCGACGGCGACGACGGCACGGGCGGGUGCGACUGCAGCGGCGCCGACGGGUUCCUGGCCAGGGUCGUCGGCGUGGCCGGCCCCAAGUGCGACGGGGAGAAGCGGAGGCUGGACGCCUGGAUCCGCCACUACAACCGCGGGGGAGGCGGCGGGUGCAGCCGGGAGCCCGCGAGGCUGGCGCACCUGCUGCUCGCCAGGGCCUCCAGCGACGCGGCGGCCGUUGCGUCCCCGGCCACCGUCAAGGAGUUCCUGGACCGCGAUCCGCCGCGGCAGACGACGGAUUAGACAGCGCGCCGCAGCCGCAGAGUCGCAGGCGUGGCAUUGCAUUUCUGAAAGCAUUGCAGAGGCAAUCACCGGAUGCACCUAAAAUAUUGUUUACUUCGCGAAUUUGGGAGGUGCCAAAUUACUGUAGCAACACUGUAGCGUUUUGUUUGUAUUUGUGAAUUAUUGUUCAAAUAUUGACUAAUUAGGCUCAAAAGAUUCGUCUCGCAAAGUACAACAAAACUGUGCAAAUAGUUUUUGAUUUCGUCUACAUUUAGUACUCCAUGCAUGUACCGCAAGUUUGAUGUGAUGGGGAAUCUUCUUUUUGCAUAGUGUCAAAGUUGGGAGUUUGGAGGUAAGAGAACAAGGGCGAAAAUUGGAUGCGUGCCGUUAGAACAUCCAAACUAAGUUGUUUUUUUGUCCGUGGGAUAUCAUCAAAACUUGGAUUUGUGCAGCACACAAUGCACUCUUCGAGAGGUUGCCUGGUAAAUGAACGAUUUUGCCCUCGCUUCGUUUUGUGGUUGCAGUGCAGCGGUCGCUUUGCUUCCUCGGCAUUUUCUGGUCUGGUCCGUCCGCGGGCAUCCUAGUUCCUAGCCAGCUGCUGUGAUCCACCGCACCGGGCCCGUGCAGUCCGGCACGCGCAGUGACUACCACUGACGCGUGGGCCAUCCGAGCGCUGGGCCCACGCGUCAGUGGCAGUCACUGCAAUGCAGUACUGCACCAGAGCAGGGUAUUUCCCCGGCCGUUUUCCUGUUUCUUGCCACCCGCACCGUUGCUCGUCCCCGACGACCUCCAGCACCGGCGCCCCCGUCGCCCGGCCCCGACCUCCAGAGAGGGUGUUGCCAGAGCCCACGGGCCUUCCUGCAGCAGCCGCCGUCGGACGCCACGGCCGUCCGAGCUGCGUCCCGUCGUCGAUGGCAUGGUGGGGGAGAAUUGUGAGCAGAGAAGGCGAGCGCGUCAAUUGAUUGGGAACUCACAUGCAAAGGCGUGUGGGUUCGGCAUCUUCGUCCCCGCCAACAAGGAGGCUGCGGACGGUGCAUUGGGGAGGUCCAUGGAGGGGGAAGAGACAGUGAGGGCUGACAGGUGGGACCUGCACCAAGGGUAUUUUGGUCCUCUUGCCGGACACUCCCUCCUUCCCGGCCAAAAAAAUAAUUUUUUAAUAUGUACAAUGUGCUGUAGGAAAAUAUAUGAUUUCACGGUAUUCCAUAGACUCAAUCGAAGAGCAGAAUAUGCUCCCCACAAAACCAUUAGACAAAAAAUCCAAUUAAGUUUUGAUGUAUUUUAACGCUAAUUCUUGGUAGGACGUCCGAUGUCCCAACAAAAAAUCGGACACUCCAAUCCCAGCAACCAUGUUGCGGUACGAAUUUUUUAUGCUUACUUUUGUUGCGAUAUUUUCCUAAGCGCGGUAUUUGUAGCCUGGUUUGAAUUAUACCUAGACCCACGAACUGUUUGUGAUAGCUGGCAGGUGGUGACAACCUUGUCCGACCUACGUAAUCCACCACGUGAGAGUGACUAGUUUCAUCCGUUUUCGUAGUUGAAGUGUGCAUCCCGACAUAAACAAAGAUCGUUAGAAUAGACUUAUCUCUUGGUUUAUACUUUCAUCCGUUGUUGCUUUACCGUAGAGGUGAUUGAUUGAAGAACAUAAAAGUAUAUAGGAAUUUAUCUCGGUCUCAUUGUCAUCCCGACUAGCUAUGAUGUAGAUAUUUUUUAUCAGAGAGUCCUCAUGUGUCAUGGUUAUCACUACUAUCUAUUGUUACCUCCACUGAGUUGUAGUUCGUUAAGUUGUGGUACAUUCAAAGGAUUUAUUUACCGAUUGUCUACACCAUUAAGUGCUUCCCCAUGAAAAAUAUAAAUAUGAUACUAUGGAAUAAUCCCUGGUGAAAUAUUACAAUGGAUAUUUUGUGUGCUGGUAGAAUUAAUCUUAGAAGCAUAAGAAAUACCAUCAGCCAUGAAUAGAGUCAGGACAUGAAGCCAAAGGUACACUAGUUAUUAUUUAAUAUUUUGAUUCUCUGGUUGCUCAUCUUGAGAAACUCUUAUGGAAAUACCCUUAGCGGUAGUGGCGACCGUGGUUGUGGGACGGUCCAAGCUGAAACAAGAGUUCAAAUUAUGUUCUAUUAUCCAUGUUGCAUAUGCGCGUUUGUUGGAAACAACUUUAUACAUCUAUAUCUUUAAAAUUAUUUGGCCAAAACAUAAUAGUAUUAAAAUAUUCUUUUCUAAAAAGUAAGAUAAAUAGUAUUGGGUACUCACUUCCACAUUUGCUUUGAGGUGGUACGGGCUUCCCACAUCUGCUGCAAGUUUAACAAGUUUGAAGACACUUGCAUGGUCUUGAUCAGGAAUGCUAAGGAUGUGACAAAUACAAACCAUAUCAGAUGUUUGCACAACAAGACAACACUCGAGGGAUGGAGGUUCAUAGUCAAUGCCAAUUCUGAUGGUCUUCUUGCAUGUUUCCAAAACCUUUGUUUUCUCCAUAUGGCAGUCAUCCUCACCCCAAGCAUGAUGUGCUGCAAAUAAGGUAAAAACUAAAGCAAGGACCAAGACUCGAAGGAUUUUGGCCAUCAUAUACUAGUAUGUUGUUGGUGUUACUAGAUAAGUGUUCCCUCUUUGUUAGCCUACAAAUGGUGAAUAAAACUGAUCAUUUUGUAUACCAUGCUUGCACUACACACUUCUAUUUAUAGCAUAUGAGAAGUUAAGUCUCAUUGCAAAUUAAUGUUGGAGAAUCCUUGGAGAGAUAGUACGGUACCAAAAAAUCCAAUCAUAAAGGAAACAAUAAGUCCUUAGAAAUCUAUCCAAUCAUAAAGGAAACAAUAAGUCCUUAGAAAUCUUCGAACCAAUCAAGAACAUUUAUAUAAAAAACUGAAUCACAAAACCAAAAAAUAAAUGUCACGAAGUCUUGAAAUCAAUGUACAAGCAACAUGGAUACAACUCAUUUAGUAUUUUAUCCCUAUCUUAACAAAAUUUCCCAGUAGCCUCCUAAACCUAUAUGGUUGUCUCAUAAAUCCCCAAACUUGUGCACUUUUCAUGUAGUAAAUUAAACUUCUACCUUGUCUAGCCCUCCAAAUUUGCUAUGUUGGUGAUAUGUUCGUUUCAACUAACACGGUUGCCUCUCCUAGCUCUUUGAACACAAACUUUUGAUAUGGAGGCUAUAUAUAUGUUCAUUUCAAUUCUUUCAAUAUUUAAAGAUUAAAUACAAAUCGAUCCCGACUACUUGCACUACUACAAAAAGAUAUACUUUUAGAGGGAUUUUACCUUCGGUUAUGGAACUCAUGGUAGCCGAGUGUAGGUAGAAAUCACAUUGUCAGUGCGAAAUCUGGACGACAAGUGAAUAUUUGUAGUUUUGCCGUGUGUUAGAUCAGAUAUGGCCUAGCACACAAUAACACAGGAUGUAUACUGGUUCGGGCAACGUGCCCUACGUCCAGUCAAGGUCGGUCGACUUUAUUCCUGAGCCCAGAUGCUCAAAGUUUGUAGUAGGGGUACAAAUAAGAGGAGUAUGAGAGGGGGUGCCUGAAUCCUGACCUUGUUCUCGUCUCUGUGGAAGAGAGUGAUAGGAGCUCAGACAGGCGCUAAGUGUAUGUGUGUGCGAAUGUCUAAGAGCACGUCUCUUGUGUCCGUCUAGAAGCGGGGGGGGGGGGGGGGGGGGGUCCGAUCCAUUUUACAGUACAAGGGGACGGUCCUUACAGGUCGGGGGAGGAUAAAGAGUGAGUGUACGGAUGCUGCCUAGUCUUGUCGAAUCCCAUGUUGGUGGACACGGUAUGGCUUCCGUUCUCGAUCCCAGUUCUUCUCGUCAGGCCAUUACGCCAUAGCGGAUAGGUUUACGGCGCCACUAUGCAGACGUGCGCAGGGCGUGGCGUGGUACGACUCCGUGUACGGUCAGCUGACCCGGGCACCGCCUCGUUAUCCGCCCCACCUGCUCCCUGGGCCCACUCCGGGUGGGCAUCCCCGGUCAAGGAGAUCAGUGCAAGUGGUACGGCAAGUCCCCAGUCGGGGGAUUAGGUCGGGAGCACUCAGUCGGGAGUGCUCGGUCGGGAGCACUCAAUCGGGUUCGGAUUGUGGCCCCACCCCCGGCUGGCUCCCUCUAGUCGGGGUGUCGACCAGGCCUCCUGGUCGGAGUAGCCGGUCGGCGGCCGGAUCGUGGUCUCGGCUUGGCUGGGCGUAGCUAGGCCGGCCCAGGUAUACAUUUGUUGUUAUCCCCUUUAUUGGGCUAAGCGUCGCGGGAAAGUAGUCCUGUUAGGGACCUCGAGUCUAUGGACCCGUCACACAUUGAGUAACAUCCCCUCCAAAACCAAUGGUGAAAAUGGAUAUAUACCACAACUGAUAGUUCCAAUUCCAUUUUGUACCAUCAAUUGAAUAAAAAAAUGACAGUAAUAACUGCCCACCAUAUUAAAUUUGAUUAAAUUUUUUAUCAAAUCUCAUAUGUGAUUCAAUUCAUAGGCCUCACAAGUAGCACAUUCAUCAAGAAGUCCAUCCACACAUAAAACAUCAAUGUAAGUUCAACCAUAAAACCUCACCAAUUCAAAUAGUCAUCUACACCUAAACAUCAAUCAUAAAAGUUCAACAUGUGGAGCCAAAAUGGUGUGGCCUCCUAGAUCUUGUUGACGGAAUACUCAUCUUGUUAAGAUCAUACUUGAAUCUCUCAUGAUUUUCUUCACACUUGAAGUUCAAGCAUACGUUUGUUCUUACCCAUCAAUAGCUAUGAAGGUUUUCUUUGAUCUUUUAGUCUGUAAGUGCAAUCAUGAUUUUCUUUAAGAUCAACUCAUAGGAAGGUUUUACAUACUUAUUGUCCUUUCAAUCCGGAAAAUUCUACACGGAAAUAGUUCUUUGCUUUAGUCUACAAAAUUCUUGUUUUGAUGAUUUUAAUAAUUCUUCUUACAUAUCAGCAGGCACAAAGGUUUUCUUGCCGUAUUUCAAUCCCAAGAAUCUAGAAUUCCAUUUCACUAUAGUUCUCCUCAACAUUGCGCAACAUCUCAUUCAAAUGAGUGUGAUGUCUUAGUUUUCCUCUUGCUUGUCCCUCCCACGUAGCAGCUCAAAAUUACUAGAUGUGCCUCCAUAUAUGUGGCAAGCAAGGGUACGAGCCAAGCUACCAUUCUAGAGGAGGCUUGUCAUGGACCUGAGCAUCAAUGGUGGUGUUGCGGCAGCAUCAGCUGGUUUAUCCCGGUGACCAUCAUCGAUCGUGUGACUUAAGGCCAAUCUACAAGUAUGUGCAGACCCACCAGUAAAUCACUCAGACAAAAUGCGUAGUGCUUUUAGUAAAUUAACAUGUAUCCUAGUUAGCAGUUCUAGUCAAUUGCCAGUUUGCCACCUAGAUUUGGAAUCCUAUGUGUCAUUUGUUGUUGGAUGUCACAUUGUGGUUCGUCAUUUGCAGCUUGAUUAGUAUGGAGAGUGGUCGAACGGCUUGGUUGCUGCUUGACAAGAUCAUACUACUGGAAAUGAAAUUUCCCUGUGGGUUACCGACGCCAGUGAAAUAAUGUACAGACAUGAAGACGCCGAAUUUUCCUGGCGGCUGUUAACCGACAGAAAAUAACUAAUCGACAGGGAAACGGAAAACUGACAGGCAAUUUCUCAUUUCCCUGUCGCUGUAUCCUUGUCAGUUAUUCCCUGUCGGUUAACCUGUUAAUCGAUAGGGAAAACGUUUUCGAAUUUUCCUGUCGGGAUUUUGAAUUUCCCUGUCGGUAUUUGCACACACAGGAAAAUUCAAGUUUUAAGAGCCUCAUGCACCUCGUGUGAUGUGAUGUAACGGUGGAGGACACCUUAAGUCAGGCCAACGUCCACGCUGAAACGCAUCAGUGGCGAGAGUAAUCACACAUACUCCCUUCGUCCAAUGGUAGAGAGAAUAAGAAACAAAGAAAAAUAUCUGAAUGGAUCCGGAUUGACUUUUAGCAGGUUGAUCUUGGGUCCUUAGGACAAUACCUGACUCGAUCUUAGAUCUCGUGUACAAAUGAUUAGCACAUUAUCUUGUAUUCCCUGUGUCAAGUGACUUGAGAAUAAGGUGAUCUUCCAUGGAUAUCCCACAAUCGGCAUGCAACGAGAUGAUUCUAGAGCCGACGCGGCAGCCCUAUAUAUUCCAGAAAUCGAAGGCUACUAUUAACCGAUGAUUGCGGAUGUUUGACGUGCUGCCUUUUUACAUAUUGUAACGUUGACAUGUUUGACUGUGCCCCAUCGCGUCUCUUGCCAUCUUGAUACUAUUUAUUUUGGCUUAACUUUUCUAGUUGGACAUACGUUUUACUAGAUAUCUAGACAAACAAAUUAAUUCAUUUUUAACUAAGCAUGUGUUCAGUUUUAGGAUCAAGUGGAAUGGAUCGGCUCCAUCCCACUUUUUGAGGUUGGGUUCAACCCAUCUCAUGUUUGGUUGGGAGGUUGGGUCAGAUCCAGUUUUUUGUUUGGUUGAAGGGUUUAAGAGGGAUGGAAUGGAUAUCAUUUUAACGGUGUUAGCAACAGCUACCAGCGGGCCCCACAUGUCAUUCACCCUUUUAUUUCACUUUUUCCCUCGAGCUCCACCGAGCCGCCGCCGGCCAACACCCGCCCCUGUGCCUCCACCUCCGCUCAGCCCUCACCACCGGCCACCGCCAACCCCUGCCCUGCCACCUUCACCCGGUCGGGCCCCUGCUCCACCACCUCCUCUCGGUCCAGCGCCACUGGCGCCCUCCGCGGGUCCCUGCUCUGCCGCCUCCGCUCGGCCCAGCGCCGGCGGCCUCCGUUGCACCGGCAGCCCUCCCCUGCGCCGGCAGCCUCCGUUGCGCCGGCAGCCCUCCCCUGCGCCGGCGGUCUCCGUACGUCCUACGGACGGACUUGAGACGGAGAUGGACAGGAUGGAAGUGGGUCGAGUGCGUCCCGUCAUUUUGAGCGGACACAAUGAACCCGUAUCUCCACAGUAUAUUCCCUCCUGGGUCCAACCCAACCCAAAUGCAUUUUCAACCAAACGCGGAUCGAUAGGGUCAAACCCGUUCCAACCCAGUUCGACUCCCAAACUAAACACAACCCGAAUAUUAACAGCAUGAUUAGAUAAUGUACACGAAUUGUGUUGCAUUGUCGGGCGAACAGCGUGAAGAAACAAAUUAGCUUGUGUGUGUCUAUAUAUAUACAUAUAUAUAUAUAUAUAUAUAUAUGUAUGUAUGUAUGUAUGUAUGUAUGUAUGUAUGUAUGUAUAUAUAUAUAUGCGCACACACAUACACAUGCACAUGCAUAUUAGGUAGUUAGGGAACUCCCUCCGUUAGGUCGUUUUGGCUUUUCUAAGUGCAUAAACGUUUGUAUGCACCUAUAUAUAUACAGUGUAUAUCUAGAUGUAUAUAAACAUCUAUGAAUCUAGAAAAGCCAAAACAAACUACAAUUUGAAACGGAGGGAGUAUAUUUUAGCCCACAUGAACAUAUAUGCAUGUGUGUACUAAUAAACGGGGCGCUGAACGACUCCAGAGAAAUUGCGGACUCACAUAAAUGAAAUUCCAAGGCCAGGAUCUUGACAGCUUGAACCUCAAGAAGCAGAGGUAGAGGCGCAUCAGCGUGGCCAUGCCGAAGAACGUGACUGGCAGAGGUUCCCGUCGAUCUGAAGCGGUGGACGGUUGAUGACGAGGAGUUCCUCGACGCCCUUGAUGGCCAGGAGGCCAGCGCGCGACCCGGGCUCGAUCGUUCCCCGUCCAUGUUGCUGAUCAGGUGAGGUAGACGGAACGGAACGGCACGUCGUGCGCGGCGAGGAUGUGUGACGGUGACCGGUGGGAGACAGCAGCGGCGAUGGCGUCCGAGUCGGCGACCGGGGGGAGGUGGGCGUCGUAGAGGACGAGCAGGGGGAGAGCCAGACGGGGCGCCAGCGUUGCGCGCGGGCGCGCGGCGUCCUUGACGGGGACGCGCAAGGCGAUGUCGCGGAGGAGCGCGUCGGGAAGACCGCUGACUCGGUCGACGCCGCCUCAAGCCGGCGCGCCGCCGCCGCAGCCGGAGUCGAAGAGGAUGCAGAGGCGACACCGAGUCGGCGGAGACGGCCGGGGAGGGAGGGUACGGUGGAUGUUGGAGAGCGUGUCGAGAUGCGGGUCCGGAUGCUCGUCGGAGUCGACGAGGAUGCACAGGCGGCCGUCGACGCCUCGACGGACACGGCCGGGGAGGUCAGAGGGCGGUGGACGGUGGAUAGCGCCCGGCUAAUUAAUUCCUCGAGAUACGGGUCCCCACCACUUGGCCGGCCAUGGUCGCCGGCGCCGGCGCCGGAAACAAACGGAUCAAGCCGACGAGGUCUUUUGGUAAGAAGCGACACGAACGCGAUGGAGAUCGUGAGACUGUGGGUGACAGUGACACACAGCGAGUGGUAAGCGAGAGCGAUGGUGGCAGCUGGCGGGUUGGUGGAGGCGUGGAGCCACGUGUCUCAGCGGGCCCAUUGGUCGGUGCUUGCUAGUAAUACGAGUAGGUGCUUAUCACUAGCUAAUCACCCAGUCAUACUCUACUGCAAACUAGUGAUUCCUUUCCUCUCAGAAGCGCAUGGAUAUACGUACAUUGCCCAUCCAUGAUGGAGUAGGAGGUAUAAAUUGACCAAGUUUUCCGUAAUUUUGAAAAUUAAUUCUGCCUUUGGUAGCCAUUAUGCUCAGUGUGCUUCUCUCCUGUACUAAGGGCGACAGUGCCAGCAUCACAAAGACUCAGAGCAAAUGACAUGAAUACGAAACUGGUGCAGAUGUUUUCCUAUAUUUGUAGCAACUCAGGGCAGGUCUAACACACCAACAUGGCUUGUAGCCUCAAACUAAAGGUUCACAAUCUAAACUUAGUCAGCCACGACUGGACAGCACUUGCCUCCGUUAUGCCCUUUUGUCCAAGCACUAUGGAACCAAGUGUUGACUUGGGAAAAAUUUACACCGCCAACAAGCGCAUCCAUCGAACUUCAGUAGCAUUUCAUAUUGGUGGGAGGCAACAACCAUCUAUGGCCAUCUAUGGUAUGGAACCAAUUUAGUUCCCAAAGAUCGUCGGUGCUCCUUCAAUGGUAUGACCAUCUAUGGCACGUGGAGCUUGUGGAAAGAGCACAAUCCAAGGAUUUUUGACAACGUUCACUCAACAACGCAGCAAGUGGCUGAGCGAGCUAAAGAACAGUGCGAGCGAUACAAAAGGGCUUUUAGAUCAACGAGACAUUAGCAUUUGUGGUGUCAUUUUUGGCUCUUUUGUGUGAGGGGUGUUUUGGCUCCACUAGUUGAAGUUACCAUUUACCACUUUACCGGCAAUGAGUUCUUUUGGGAUGAGGGGGGAAAAAGCUAAUUUGAUGGAAUCUUGCCAUCAAGUGAUCAGCCAAAAGAAGGUAAACGGGGGAGUAGAGGGGGAAUGUACUACACUGGACGCUCGCUGCCUUCCUGAUUAGGCAGGUGAGAGACUAGGCCAAAACUUGAAGGGAGUGCACGAAGGAACCGACCGGGACGUGCGUUGGGUGUCGCCGCUUGACCGCCUGCAUGAACCGGUGGACGGACGAGACGAGACGAGACGAGACGAAACCCUCCCUCUCCAUGUCCCACUCGCCUGCCACAGGUGAGAUUUUUCUCUCCUCCCUAGCUCGCUCCUCUCUUGGUCUUUUUCCGUUCAUCGUACGUGAUAAUAAUCAGUUGAUGAUCACCCCCCAAAACCCCCCGUCCUCGGUGCCCUACUACCUACUUUCACAAGGCGUGUUAGUUAGCUACUCUUUUUAAUUGGUUGGUCAUGGAGCGGAUAAUUUGUUGCUGCCUGGAUUCAUUCUGUUUGUUAAAAAUACUGUUGGUGGGUUUGCAGUCAUGCACGGUGCCUACUUCAAGCAUGCAUAUUGGUUUAUAGUUUACUUGGUGGUCUUGAAAUUUUGUUCUUGUGUCCAUCGUCUUCGUGCGGGCUCUUGAUCUUUCUGCGCGAUCGUGCCUUCAUGGGAUUUCGGGCUUCUCUUGUGUUUGCGUUCCAUAUUCGUUUUUGCAGCUGCUUUUUCCUAGGGCAAGCAGGCGAGUAAUCAAGGAUUAUGGGAGCACCGCGCAUGAUGAUUUCUCUGCGCCGUUCGUUCCUCUCGAAAAGUCUGCUGUCUCUUCCUCAUAUCGCAUGCUCUUCUUUUGUCGUUUGUUGUUUGCUUAUGAAGUUAUGAGCAUUAGAUCUGAAGAUAAAACUGUUCAUGAUCUCUCUUCUUUUCUGCUUCUUGGUAUCUGUUUACCUUUUCCUCAUCUCGCUCUCGCUUUCAGAUUCUCAACCCUGUCUACUGUGUGCGUGCAGGGAAGGUGAAAGGGACAAACUUCACGGACAGCCCGGAGCUUGGCUCGCAGCCCAGUAGGCAAUAAGGCAUGCUUCCUUUUUCUUUUCCCCCCCUCUUAUCAUACCAAAACAAACAUAUAUGUAUAUGGGCAUAGCUGAAACUGUUAGCUCAAUUCAAACUGUGCAUUUAUUCGACUGCGAUGUGUAAGGGGGGAGACCAGAUUUUUCCACUGCGGCCAAAAAGCUAGAUAGCGUGCAGGGUAAGAAUUUAUUGAGACGAUUAAAAAUCGUGUUUACUUGUCCCAGAAUCCUUUGUCUUUGAUUUGUGAAAUCCUUGUGUUUAGACAUUAAUUCGGGAAUUCAUUUCUGGUGAUUUUCAGGGGAAUCAGAAAUGGCGGAGGGUGGUUCUUCGAGCCAUGGUGGUCGCCCUAACCCCAAGUGGAAGUGGAGAGUCGUCGACAACCUGAACCUCGUCAAAAUCAAGAAAGAGAUGAUACCUAAUUUUUUGGGGAAAAGCGAGGCUGAGGCCAUGCCCCAGUGGCAUGAAGUUAGCGGCCCAAAUUUGUUGAAAAUUUGAUGAAUGAUUCGCGUUGAUAUCCUCAUUUGCCUGUAUCUGCAGCAAAAUGGACAUGGAAGGGUCGACGGGAUUCACUGCCGAGGACUGCAUGCGCCAAUUCAAUAAGAUGAUGGAAAAGUACAAGCAGGUCGUUGAUUCUGGUCAGCAACACAAGACGAGGUAUCAGCCUUUCCGUGAGCUUGACGAGCUUGUCAAGCUUACCGACGCCCAGCCCCAGGUUGCAUCGGGGAAAAGGGGUGUUAUCGGGCGAACUCUGACGAGGAGGAGGAGGACGAGGUGCCGGCGCCGGCUGCAGCGACAGCGGUGGCGGCGGGCGUCAUUCUCGUCAAGCGCCCCCGGACCAGCAGCGUUCGCCGGCAGCUCGCAGAAUGUCGAGGCGGCGGCGGGACCCUCGCAGCUGGAGAACUACGAACUGCCGCCGCUGCCUCAGUAGUUGAGGAUCCUCCCUGCUGAAAGCGAUGACCCUUCCGUCUAUCAACAAAGGAUGGAACUGGUGGCAGGCGCGACGUUAAUUUCUUUGUGUCAGUCUAGAACUUAGGUUAUUAAUGACGUAUAUGUGAUAGCUAAAUUUUGUUACGUACAUUCUUAUCUUAUUUGAACCAUGAUAGGAUAUUUUAAUGUAUUUGAACUAAGUAGUCCAUACGUGUCAGGCAGGCUUUAGUUAUUUGUUUUGCCACAAUGUUCGCAACUGAGCGUAGGGCCCAUUGGCAAAUAAAAAAAAAUCCUGAAGCCCAACGUUCAGGUCAUCUACCAUGGCUCAUGGCUGCCUGCCCUUCUCCCUCUUCAGAAUUGAUGUGCGGCCCCUCCAAUCAAGAGCUGCGCCCCUCGAAUCGGGGGCUCAUCCUGAUGUGUCGAGCUCCCCAUGGCGGCAGCCCUUCCAAUAUUGUGCGGCU
rnacentral:lncRNA from 1 species